UGAUGUCCUCUCCUAUAUUUUAAGCCAGAAAAAUGUCGUCUUUUUCUUUUCUUUCCUUUUCUUUUCUUUUUCUUUUUCUUUUUGUUAGGCAGAAAUAGAUAAUAAUAAAAAGAAAUUUGUUUACUCUUAAAAAAAAAAUUCUGCCAAAUAAUUUUUAAUGUUUGACGUUAUGAUUUACUCAGGGAACAGGCUUCCAGCAUCGCCACGAGCCUCCUGCUGCUACUUGACCUAUGUUACAGAAGGAUGCUGCUUCUCUCUAGGUGCUGGUAUUUAGUCUAAUUUGUCUUUGAACUCUUUAUUUGUACCCCCCCCCCACCCAAAAAAAAAAAAAACAGAGAAAAAAUCACCAGUUCGAUUUGAUCAGAUUCGAGCUGUGAAAAGGCAUAUAUCUAAUAAAAUACACCAACUUCGAUGAUAUUUAAAAGGUUAACUUUGUAGAUGUUUGGGAUAGAAAUAAAAACAAUGCCAAAAUCAAGCUGCUAAAAGAAAUGAGUUAACCAUUUGAAGAAUAUAAGCUUCUAGUUUUAUUCAUAAUAUUUUGUUCAAUACCAGAUUUGCCUUUAUUCCCAGUGAAGCAGAGAAAUAUAUAGAAUACAUAUAGAUAUUAUAUAUAAAAACUAAUGGAACAUUCAUCAAUAUCCAUGCUCACUAGUCAUCAUAAUUGACUUAGUUUCACACCAGAUUUGCCUUUACUCCUAGUGAAGCAUAGUAGUACACAUAAUACAUACACAUUAGAUACAUAUAUAAAACCUAAUGGAACAUUCAUCAAUCCGUGCUCACUAGUUAUCAUAAUUGACUGAUUAAUUAAGUAAUUAAUCAAUCAAUCCUUCUUGUGCUCUUGAUCAGCACGUCGUACUUCAAGGCCGCCAUCAGGUCUCUUCUCAAGUGAAUAAGGCAUAUAGGUUCCUAGAAUUCUGUCCCAUAUGUCAAAGUAGACAGAGAAGUUGUAUUUGGUACCAUAAAGCUGAUGGUGGACAUCAUGGUAUGCCGAAUUGUUGUUAAAAAAGAGGUAAAAGGGGUUUCCGGGAAGCUUCAUCCCGCAAUGAUCAUCCACUAAUUUAAGGAUGGUAAAGGAGGAGAAAAACAUGGCAAUCCGAGGAGACAUGCCGGAGAGGAGUACAGCUAAUGUUCCGCCCAUGGUGUCCAAGAACCCCUCAAUUGGAUGCAUAUACUGUCCUCCAAAUGAAUAGGGAACAACCAGCCGGUGAUGCGGAACAUGAAGGUGUUUGUAUAAAAACUUGUUCUGAUGCAAGUACCAAUGCACAAAAAACGACCAUGUAUCUAUCACCACCAUUGCUAUCACCAAUUGCUUGGCUAGAAGAAGCAAGGUUAGUGAUUUCUUUGGAGAUGCCUCACCAUCUUUUUCUCUUGUUACCUGCAACCAAAACAAAUUAAGUUCCAAGUUCUGAUACAAAUAGAAAAUGGUGGUGCUCUGAUAUUUUAUCUGAUCCUUGAAAGUUACAAACUUACAAUAAAAAAGAAGAAAAAAUUUUGUUUAUAAUUGCAUCAAAAGAAAGGAAAAGGAAAAUAAAAAGAAAAGCCAUUAAUUACUACUCAUACCGCAUACGUGAAGAGGUUAAUAGCAAUUGACAUGACUUGAUGGCAAAGAACGGCUUUGAAGACUUCCUUUCUGGAAACCAAAUUCUUCUCCUCCUCUUCUUUCUUGGAGUGCAACUUGUACUUCUCAAACCUUGACUCAAACAUCACAUACAUACCUGAGUAUAUCCAAUAAACAGCAAUUGGCACCAAAGUGGCCAGCAAUUCCUCCGACGUUACAAAAGCCAUCCCAGUUUUUGAACUUGAUCUCCCUUUAAGUGUUCAAUUCUAAUAAUAGCAAUGGAAAUGUGUCUUGUUCAAUUACACUAUGCAAUAGUCUUCUUAUAGUUCAUAAUUGACAGUGACUGAAAUUCACAAAAUGUAACUAGAGCAUGGAAUAAGGGGGAAUUUUUUUGAUAUAUAUUUGCGUAUAUACUCCUUUAAUUGUUGACCAUUCAAAACACAAAAAAGUAAGAAUUUUGAUUGUGUAAAAUUUAUAUGAAAACUUUAAGCCAGAAAUAUGUUGUCUUUUUUUUUUAUAUGUUAGCCAGAAAUAGAUGAUAAUAAAAAGAAAUUUUCUAACUUUUAAAUAUUUUUUUUGUCAAAUUUUUAUUUCUUGAUGUUAUGAUUUAUCAUUUUUCCUCUCUCUAGAGUAAUUGAGAGAAUACAUAUCAUCAUUAUAUCUUUUGAAAAAGGAAACCACUACAUCAAUUCAAAAAGAAAAAUUACAAAAGAAAAUAAUAAAAAAAGAAAAAAUAUGUGAUGGUUUAAUUGGUGUACCCUGAUGGAAAUGAUUGAAGCUUCUCGUCUUAUGUUUGCCUAAACAAAGCUUAUUUUUAAUUGUCUUAAAUGAAAAAGAAUAUGCUUUUUAGUUAUUUUAUUUAUUAAUUUUUAGUUAUCUUAAGAAACUUUAAGAUAGAUUUAAAAAAUCUAGAAUAUAUCCCAUAAAAGUAAUUGGAUAACUCUUAGGAUCCUUACUAUAAUUUUGCUUUGAAUUUCCUCCAAUCUCAUCACAGUUUCAUUGUUGAGGUGUUGGAUAAAUUUUCAGUAGGAUAAACGUGCUUCUCUUUGUCUAAUUCGAGCUUAUCUUUAAUGGAGUAAUUUUAUCCCUUCCAUUUUUAAAUUUAUUAUUUAUUAUAUUAUUUUUAAUACAAUUGAAGUUUAAUUAGUUUAAAUUAUUAUUUAAUAUGAAAAGAUUUUAAUAUAUUUUAUAAGUCAGCGUAAAUAUAAUUUUGAAUGAAUUUUUAUUAAGGGCAAACAAAAUUCGAUUCAACUAGAAAAAAUUUAAAAAAUAAAUAAAUUUCGAAUUAUUCGAAUUAAAUUAAUCAAGUUAGUCGAAUCAACUCGAUUUUUUUAAUUUCAUGUUCAAAUCUAGUUAAAUUUUUUAAUUUGAAUAAAUUAAAUAUCUAACUCUUUUACUUCUUUCUCCUUAAACCCCUUCUUAGAAGUCAAACCAUUUUACUUUCCCAAAAAAAAUUAAUAGAAGUCAAACCAUUUUACUUUCUCUAAAAUAAUUAACUUCCUCAAACCCCAAAUUUUUUUUUCUUUUAUUUCUCUCAAAACUUUUACUUCUCCAAACUUCCAAAAAAAAUUCCAUUUGCUUUCCUCUAAAACUUUUAUUUUCUCUUAAACCCUAAAUUUUUUUUGAAUUUAAAUCUACUAUUUAUAUUAUUGAAUUAAAUUUCACAUUUUGUACUAUUUAUAUUAUUGAAUUAUUUAAUAAUAUUGAAUCUUUAUCAUUUUCUGUUAAAAUUGAAUUAUUGAUGAUGACAUAAAAUAUUCAGUUAAAAUUUUUAUUGGUAUCAAUUUCACAUUUUAUCUUUAAAAUAACUUUUAUUAAAAAAUCACAUUUUUUAUAUUUAAUAUUUUUUUAAUUUCAAAAUACAUGGUGAUAAGAAUCAGAAGAUACUUGAAGCAACUAAGCAAGUAAAGAAACUAACCUGUAUAUAAAAUAUUAAUAAAUAAAUUAUGAGGAAACGAAAGUUAAUAACAAAUUUAAUUACGGUGGGAAAAUUUGAUUAUGGUGAGUGACAGUGGUUACAAGGACUCAAAGUUAUUUUUUAGUUUAACUCGAACAAAUAUAUUCAAUUCAAUUCGAGAAAAUUUCAAAUCGAGUUAAGAUGAUAAAAUAAGAAUUGUCAAUUUGAUUAACUCGAAAUAUUUUCAUUCGAUUCGAUCGAAUACUCACCCCUAAUUUUAAUAAUUUUUUGUGAUAACUGUAUUUCUUUUAUUCCACAAGUAACCUUAAAAAAUUGACAUGUUUCCCUUUUUUCUUUAAUAUUUCAACCUUUAAUCCUCCUUGUGGUGUCUAAAAUCUCCACUUAUAUACCAAAUAUUUUCUUUUUUUAAUAUAAAUAGAAUUUUAAUGUUUUUAUUUUAUAUUAUAUAAGGUGAGUAUUUAGUUGCUUGUGGCAAUGUGCCAAAUAAUCUCUUAUAUAUGAACAUAGGUAGUCUUUUGGAUGAUUAUUUUGUACUCUCAUAUCACUACUUUUUUUUUUCAAUGAAUAACAGAUUGAAGUAAAACGAUUUAAACCUAUACCAAACAAGUAUCUAACAAUAACUUUAAUCACCACUCCAUUUAAGUUGAGAGUUAUCUCACUGCCUGAAUCAAUUCAAACAAAUAUUUUAUACUACUGUAAUAUUUGAUCUUAAUACUAUAUUAACUAAUCACACUGAGUCAAUUUUACCAUCAAAUAUACCCCUUAAAAUCAAAUAUUUGAAAAUAAACGAAAACACACAUAUAAAAGACUUAGCAAAUUGAUGUACUAAGUGAUUAAAAUAAACUCAAUUAUAUUUUGAACCUAUGUCCAUGCUAAAAAUUAAUUUUAUAUAAUUUUCAUGCAUUUUUUAAUUUUUUAAUUGAUUUUGUGUCAUUUUAUUUUGCAUAAGCCAUCAUAACAAUUUAAUUUAGAAAAUGAUAUAUAUGUUGAUGUUAUAUUAUGUCUACACUCAUCUCAUUUUAUAUAAAUUUUAAUAAUAUUCAAUUUAAGGAAAAAAAUUGUGGAUUCAUAUCGUGUUUUUGUUUUUUUUGUGUAUUUAAAUUGUUGUUCAAUUUUAUAAGCUUUUAUAUGUAAUUAAUUUGUCAUGUAAAUCUUGGCACAUUGAUGUGUUUGUACCAUUUUUGGUGUUUUUAAUAAAAUAAUGUUGAUUUUAUAUGAUUUAUUAGUUGAUCUAAUAUUUUAGAUAAUACAUAAUAAUAAUUUAAUUUUUAAUCUAGAUUCAUUUUUAUAAUUAAAUAAGAAUUAGGUAAAAUAUAUUAUCAUUCUCUCCAUCCCUUUUGUCAAUAGCCAUUCCUACAAAUAAAGAAAUUCUUGGCCUUUCUUACUUUAUUCUAGCAAAAUAAUAACAUAAUUAACUUCAGAGCUCAAAAUACCAUAAUUAGGUUGUCAGUAUCAAAAUCAAAUUCUGCAAAUUAACCCCUGUUCUUGGAUCUCUAGUAAUUCUCGAGGUGCGAUGUGUAAUAUGCAAAUUAACUUAAUCCCCAUCUAUUGAUGUUUUGUCAUCAUAAAUAAAAAAUAUUCCAUCCAUGUCGUCAAGUAUAGAAUCUCAAUUAAUCCAGCUCACGAGGUCUAAAGCUCACGGAGCGUGUCUCUGAAAACCAAAAUCACAUACUCAGAAUGAGCCCGCAAGCUGUAGUCUAUAACAAAACCAAAAUAGUUCACAUUUGCUCUUAAACAUUACUGGAAAAUAAAAAAGAUGGUAAGAUAUUGAUUUUCCGAAUAAAUUCAAUUAAAUUUUGACUUCCUAUUUCUUUAAAAUUUUAAUUAGAGAGACUCAAGUCCAAAAAUCAAAAUCCAGUGUCGGUCCAACUUUCAGGCCAAAUUGAAGUCCAAAUCUGUACGAGUCAAUAGCAAAAUCCUAGGCAAGGGCCUGAAAUUAAAAGUCCAAAAUCAUGUACAAGGUCCGGUUAACAUGUUACAAAGGGCAAGUUCUACGACAAUUUCACUGUUUGGAAUUAGGUUUCCAUUGCUGCCUCCGCUUCUCAUUGCAUAGGAAAUUGUUUUCUUAAAAUGAAUCUUAAUUUUAAUUAUUAUUUUUUCCAGAAAAGGAAGAGCACCAAAUAGAGAUCACAAUCGGGAUAUGGAAAGGCACACAAGAAAUCAGAGAAUAUACACACAAAAAUUACCAAAAUGCACUCUGUGUUGUCACAAAGCUUAUUCCUGCAAAAAUUAGACAAAACAACCCAAGUAUCCAACAGCGCGGAAAAUACAAGAUAUUCAUCAGUUUAACCAAAUAAUACUUUCAAAGGUUCGGUUUUUAUGUUGGCAUGAUGUUCUUAAAACCAAAUAAAACCUAAAGUUUAACCAAAACAUUUCAAAUACGAAAAACAAAGUUGGAGAAGAGAACUUAACCAUAUGGUGUUUCAGCAGGUAUUAAAACCUUCGCAACGAAGAGGGCUUUGAACCUCAUAUUUUCGAUGGACUCGUGGAAGAGAAGGGCUUUUCUUUAGGUGCUUUCAAAGAGGAUGAAAUAAUGUUUUGAAGGGUUUUUUUUUUAAGUGCUUUCAAAGAGGAUGAAAUCAUGUUUUAUUUUACGCAUUUCACGGAGCAAGAGAAUAAGUUUUCUUUGGUAGCCAUGGGGAAGAUGGGAGGUUAGGAAGAUCGGCUGCGAGACAGUUGAGAGAAAAUGCAAGAGGCACCUCAUGACAGUAUUGAGAAUGAACGGGAACCCUAUGCUUUUAUAAUUAGGUUAGUAUGAGGAUAUGGGAAAAUUCCAACACAAAUCUGCGAGUUUUAUCCCGCAUUCAUUUAGGUCUCUCAUUCGGGUUUUUUUUUUUUUUUCGUUUUUAUUAUUUUCACACAACUACGAACUCACACACAUGUGCUCGGGCAGGAGGUCAGAUAUUUGCGUUUUUUUUUAUCCAAAUUUUAAUUCGCAUUUAUCUAAAAAUUUGAAUUUCUAAAUUACACAAGUAUUUCUUUCCAAAUGUGAAUCUAUAUUAAAUAUUGUUAUCACUCUAAUAUCUGAAUUUACAAAAAAAAAUUAAAUUUAGUAUUUUCAAUUAUAUGUUGGAUAUCUUAAUAUGUAAAAAUUCAAAUCUAAAUAUGUGAAAUAAUAUAAAAUUGAACAAAAAACUAAUUUUAAAUAUUUUUUUCAUAAUUAACAAUAGAUAAAUGAAAAAUAAAAAAUAGUUAAAUAGCAAUCUAAUCAAAUUAAAUAUAGGGAUUUCACAACAAGAUAAAUAUACUUAACCUAAACAUACAAAUUCCAAAAAAAAAAUAUAAGUUACAUAAUAAUUUGUGAAAAAUCUGAAUUUAACAUUUCCAACCAUAUAUCAAAUAUCCUAAAAAAAUCCAAAUAUGAAUCAAACAAAAGUAGUUUUAAAUAAAAUUUAUUUAUAAUUAACAAUAAAUAAAUACAAACUAAAUUAAACAUAACAAUUUCACAACAAUUUAAAUAUACCUAACAACUGUCGAUUGAGUUUUAGCUCGAUUGGCAUGGGCAUUAUUGCCAAUGCAGGAGGACGUGGGUUUGAGUGCUGUGAAACACAUUAUCUUCCUAUUUAUGGGUUAGGGAGGGGCUAUGGAUAGUUCUAAGCAUUGUGUUAAAAAGAACAUAUAUGAUUAGAACUAUUGAGAUUAUUUGAAAUAUAUAUACCUAACAACUUAAACAUAAUAAUUUCAAACAAAUUAAGAGAUGCAUAACAAUCCCAAAUAAUUUAACCCUAUUUAUAUAAUUCUAAUUGUAUAUAUUAUAAUAUACCAUAAAGUUAGUUGUCUCUUAAAGAAGAAUAUUAAUAUAAAGAGAUCGUCAACAAGGGCGUUCUAGUGUGUUGUAGAUUCUUAUCCAAGACUUGUAUCAUUUGAUGAUGCCAUGUGAAUCUCUAGAAACAUGUGAAGUGUAUGGUCCAAUAUUGAAAUAAUUUUAUAGGUUUUCCCUGACUUUGUUCGUGUCAAAAAACAAUUCGAAAUGCCUCGACUCUUUUAGAAGAGGUUUGGGUCAAAUAACAAUGAUUCGAAGUACUUUUUUUUUACACUAUUUCGGAAACCCAAGGACUUAAUCGUAUGGAUAUGUAAAAUACAGGAUUUCCAGUCCUAGUAGGAAAGGGAAGGAAACGGAUACUCAAUUUAAAGUGAGUAAACAGAAUUCCAUUCUCGAUCUCAUAGAUACAUAUGAAAUUCUAUGGAAAACCGUAUACGAUGAAAGUCGUAUGUACGGUUUGGAGGGAGAUCUUUCAUAUCUUUCAAGAUCCACCCUACAAUAUGGGGUCAAAAAGCCAAAAUAAAUUAUUUUAGCCCUUAUAAAAAGAAAAUGGAUUCUUGAACCCUUUCACGCUCAUAUCACAUCAAGGUACUACAGAAGAAAAAACUGCAAAAUUUGAUCCAAUUUAUCGUAAUCGAUUAGUUAACAUAUUGGUUAACCGUAUUCUGAAUCGCUAGAAACAUGUGAAGUGUAUGGUCCAAUAUUGAAAUAAUUUUAAAGGUUUUCCCUGACUUUGUUCGUGUCAAAAAACAAUUUGAAAUGCCUUGACUCUUUUAGAAGAGGUUUGGGUCAAAUAGCAAUGAUUCGAAGCACUUUUUUUUACACUAUUUCGAAAACCCAAGGACUCAAUCGUAUGGAUACGUAAAAUACAUGAUUUCCAGUCCUAGCAGGAAAGGGAAGGAAACGGAUACUCAAUUUAAAGUGAGUAAACAAAAUUCCAUUCUCGAUCUCAUAGAUACAUAUAAAAUUCUGUGGAAAACCGUAUUCGAUGAAAGUCGUAUGUACAGUUUGGAGGGAGAUCUUUCAAAUCUUUCAAGAUCCACCCUACAAUAUGGGGUCAAAAAGCCAAAAUAAAUUAUUUUAGCCUUAUAAAAGGAAAAUGGAUUCUUGAACCCUUUCACGCUCAUGUCACGUCAAGGUACUGUAGAAGAAAAAACUGCAAAAUCUAAUCCAAUUGAUCAUAAUCGAUUAGAUAACAUAAUGGUUAAUCGUAUUAUGAAACACGAAAAAAAAUCAUUGGCUUAUCAAAUUGCCUAUCGAGCCUUGAAAAAGAUUCAACAAAAGAUAGAAACAAAUACACUAUCUAUUUUACGUCAAGCAAUACGUGGAGUAACUCCCGAUAUAGUAGUAAAAGCAAGACGUGUAGGCGGAUCAACUCAUCAAGUUCCCAUUGAAAUAGGAUCCACACAAGGAAAAGCACUUGCCAUUCGUUGGUUAUUAGGGGCAUCCUGAAAACGUCUGGGUCGAAAUAUGGCUUUCAAAUUAAGUUCUGAAUUAGUGGAUGCUGCUAAAGGGAGUGGCGAUGCCAUACGCAAAAAGAAAGAGACUCAUAGAAUGGUAGAGGCAAAUAGAGCUUUUGCAUGAUUUCUUAUGGGCAUAAGCAUCCCAAUUAAUUCAGUCUUAUGGUUCUUCAUUAUCUGCAUAUGGCUUUCUUUUCUUAGGUGCUCAUUUUGUAUGGGCUUUUAGUUUAAUGUUUCUAUUCAGCGGACGUGGUUAUUGGCAAGAACUUAUUGAACCCAUUGUUCGGGCUCAUAAUAAAUUAAAAGUUACUCUUGCUACUCAGCCUAAAGCCUUGAGCAUUGUAUAAGGACGUGCUAUAGGGGUAACCCUUUACCUUCUAGGUGGAAUUGCCACAACAUGGGCAUUCUUCUUAGCAAGAAUUAUUGCAGUAGAAUAAUGGCUAGGCUAAAUACUACUGGGUGAUCGAUAGCGAAGUAGUAUCGUGAGGGAAGGGUGAAAAGAACCCUCGUCGGGGAGUGAAAUAGAACAUGAAACCGUAAGCUCCCAAGCAGUGGGAAGAGCCUAGGGCUCUGACCGCGUGCCUGUUGAAGAAUGAGCCGGCGACUCAUAGGUAGUGGCUUGGUUAAGUGAACCCACCUGAGUCGUAGCGAAAACGAGUCUUCAUAGGGCAAUUGUCACUACUUAUGGACCCAAACCAGGGUGAUCUAUCUAUGACCAGUAUGAAGCUUGGGUGAAACUUAUGAUUAGAACUUUUGAGAUUUUUUAAAAUAUAUAUACCAAACAACUUAAACAUAAUAAUUUCAAACAAAUUAAUAGAUAUAUAACAAUCCCAAAAAAUUUAACCCUAUUUAUAUAAUUCUAAUUGUAUAUAUUAUAAUAUACCAUAAAGUUAGUUGUCUUUUAAAGAAGAAUAUUAAUAUAAAGAGAGUAACGAAAUAGAAACAAUAGAAAAUGGGUAGGAAUACAAACUAACCCUAAGUCGAUAGGCUUACCCCAUACGCUCGAUCCUAACAUUUGUCCUAAACCUAGUGUCAAUAUGAACAUAAUCAGAAAGCAAAGUAAAACCUAAACAAGGGGGCACAAAGUUCCAAGUAACAUGAUGAGCAUGCAACAAAACUGCUCGAGCCAAAAAGUGGCCUUGUUUACAUUUCAUCGAAUUCAUCGAAAGGACACAUCAGUAAACUAAUUUUUCAAUACAAGCCAAUAAUUCAAUUUCAUACCAAAUUCUAAUAUACUAGUCAAACGACUAACCAAAUCUCUAUAAACUCAUCGAUUAUCAAGCUUGAAAAUAACCUUAUCUAUAUUCGCCUCUUUGAUCCAGUAGUGUCAUUGCCAUAUUUACCAGACAAGCAAUCUUCUAUAAAACUAGCAACAGUGAAAAUUUCUACAUUAAAGCCUAGUGAAUCCUACACCUUAGUAGCUUUGGGGCAAAAGAACAAUACAUGAUCCAAUGUUUUUAGCUUGCAACACAAGCAGCGAUAAUCAAUUUAAGCUUAAUAUACACCAAGGGGGUGAAUUGAUGUUUUAAAAACUUAAAGUAAAGAUGGCAAUCAAAGAGGACUCAAGAAUUUAUAGUGGUUCGACCCUAAUUGUCUACUUCCACUACCUUAGCUUACCACAACUAAGGAUUUCCAAGAUUCACUCAUUUGAACCUUUUAAGGACAAGGUAAAGGAAAAAUAAGGCCUAUCACACCUGAAUUCCUUUAAACUCAGAAAUUUAGAACAUUUAGGGGUUAAAUCAAAAGAGACGACAAACUGUUUAUGUUAAUUGAAAAAUUAGGAAAAGAUAGAAACAAAAUGUAGCAUGGUUGGAAUCUAAAUCUAAAUCAGUAGAAUUAGAACCAUCAAGUUCCAUAGUGGGGGACAAAAUGAUUAUGAAUGGGUGGAUGUUGCAGGGUUGGGGAUCGUGCGAGAAGGGCUAUAAAUAGCUAAGAAAUGACUUCCCCCAGUCUAUUUUGUUUUUCUUCUUCAACUUCUUCCUUAGAAGCUCUUGGAGGAGAUGUAUACGAGGAAGCUCCGCAUGGAGUGAUAAUCGAGAGGUUUAAUCUGGAAAAGUAGAGAAACUAGUAAGCUGGUAAGGUUUUGAGCCCUUCGGUGUACGUAAGACUUAGAAAAAUAAAGUUAAGAGUUUCUCGAAACCAUUUUAAGGAUUCUACAUGUUUUUGGAAAAAUUAAGUUUUAAAUUGGGAUUACCAAGUUUAACCCAUGAAUUGAUUAUCUUGCUUAGCUGCUAACAGAACAGAAGCUUUGGCAUUUGGAAAAGCUAAGUAGGCAAUGCGAAGAAGCAUGAGGUGAGUUUCUACGUUCCAACCCUAGAAAGGCUAAGCAUGUUUAAGAGCAUAUAGGUAUAUGAGUAUCUUCCAUUUUAGUUUAGUUGGCAUAAUUCGUGAUAAUCUAUCAAAUAAAAUGCAUGAGAUGCAUGUGAAUAAUGGUAGUGUGAAAAAGGGUUUAGAAGAAGUUAAGAAUAGGAAAAGGGAUGAUUCUGUUAGAUACUGUCAUACAGUAUUAUUGAGUAAAAGUGUUGAUGUGCGAAGCUCCGGUCCUUGCGGAGGGGAUGUUGCGGUGUUUGGGCAUUAAUGUUAAGAAUAGUGAAUUGGAGGAAUGGAAGGAAUGUGAUGGGAAGAGUAUAUAAGAAAGAUCAUGGUGAGGCCAUGGGACCGAUCGAAGGCUAUUCGUCUAAGAAUGAGUAAGACCAUAGCUGAAAGAUACUAUGGCAUCAUGAUAAAAAUGAGUAAGAACAUAGUUGAAAGAUGCUAUGGCAUCAUGACAGAAAUGAGUAAGACCAUGGCUGAAAAACACCAUGACAUCAUGAUAAACAUGACUAAUGUAACGCCCUCAACCCGAUCUGAUUCACCGGAUCCGAACCUCGAGUGUUACAACACAAAUACAAACUUAUGCUUAAAUAUUCAUAUAUUAUUUUCAUAAUUAUUAUAAACUAAUUAAAUAAUCUCCCAACCAAAGUUUCAAUUGAAUAUACAUUGGACAAUUACUAUCAUCAUACAAGAAUUUCCAUUAUAAAGACUUUCAGGCUAACCUCAAAACUUAAUUACAUUAUCUCAAGUGUAAACCUUAAGGAAUACUUUUAACUAGAUUUAUGCUACCAACACGGUAUGUAUGCAUAAUAGCCUACCCUAUAAUUUCUUUAGCGUAGCCCUAGCAUUGUCCCUCUUGGCAUAGACCAAUGUAAAAUUACCUGUAACAUAAAACACAGGGGUAAAUUCAUGAGAACUUAGUGAGAUAAACAAGCAUUUACUUGAAUCAUUUUUGUAUUUCGCAUAUGGUAAUUCAAUUCGCCAUCUCAUUGUUCAUUAUUGUUCAACUUGUCUCUAGCGAAUGCCUUCUCAGAAUGUCAUUAUUUGUACCAUAGAUGUCAACCCUAACUCUGAAGUCAAGCCUACUUUCCACAUCUUUGAUAUGUUACUCACGUUCUUCACUCCGCACUUUUGUAAUUCCUUAACCAUACCCAUUCCAGAGGCCCAUACAGACAAAAUAUUGUUAUUCUUACAUACAUACUCCAAGCCAUCGAUUCUUCGAAAUCCAUGAGUGAUUUUGUACAUAGAUGAAAGAUACAUUAUUUAAUUAUAUAUUUGAUCCUUUCUGGAGAAUACUCAUUUUUCUUCUAAUAAUUACAAACAUAUAAUCUUAUUCAACUUACCAGACAUAGCCCUAACUCAAAGUUGUUCUUUAAGUAUAAUUAACCCAUACUUUGAUUCGCCACAUGCUUUGGCGCAUUCUAGUUUCUCUGUUCUUGUCUUAAGAUUAUGCAGGAUAUACCAUAACAUUUCAUAUGAAGCUCGCCACAAAGGAAGCUAAGUAAAAUAUCUCAUUGAAGGUGUAACAUGAUACGCCACAGGGGUUUUUCCUUCUAAGUUCAUUACAACUAUCGUCUCUUCAGAGUUUGCCAUGAAUGCCAUUUCUUUGAAUGUUUUCUUUGGAUGUUUACCACAGAGACAUUUUCUUUGGAUGGUUGCCACAAAGGACAUUAUUUAGAGUACACCAUAAAGGUUUUUUUUUCGUAGAUAACCAUAAAGGCUUCCUUUUUUGUAGAUCGCCACAAAGCCUUUAUUUUUCAUAGAUCACCACAAAGACUUCUUUUUUCUGGCAUGUUUACAAUAGGGAUUCGCCUAAACUCACAUUUCGUGAGGUUUUCCCCUCAUCGUCCUGGGUCAUGCAGAGAACCCCCUUUUGGGUAAUCACCUUCCUUUAGUUCUUUUCCAUAUGAUGCCAUAGCCCAACUAUGGUCUUACACAAUAUCAUGCCAUGGCCAUAGACUUUCCUUUUAGAGAUUCAUAUUAGAGAUCAUGUUUUUAGUCCCGACGGACCCCUUUAGACGCUACCGUAGUGACCAGACAUAGACUCACUUGAUAGACUUUUCAAGUAUUGACACCCUUUUAGACUCAUUACUUUGAUUCAUCAUCAUAACCUGACUAACACAUACAUCUUAGCACGUGUUUGCAGACAUAAUCAUUCAACCAUACUUUAACUUCAAGGUUCAUAUCACAAAUUGAAACUUGUUAGCUUUCACACUAACUAUUCAUGCAAACUCAUCAAACAUUCAUAUCACACCAUAAUCAUCAUACUAUAUUUUCCUAGUUUUAGAUUCGUAGUUUGAUCACUUUUUAUAGAGACGUCUUGAAUACACAGAAUACAUGCAUGAGUCAACUUAGAGUGUCAUGCCCUAUAAAUUAUUUAUUGUUCGUGCUAGUUUAAGACACAAGGAGUAAAAUAUCCAAGUGGUUAAGUGUGUGAAUUAAUUCCUAGUGGUCUUAGGUUCAAGCCCCCAUAAUGUAACACCCCUAACCCAUAUCCGUCGUCAGAAUAGGGUUAUAGAGCGUUAUCGUAAAAAUAUAACUUAAAAUCAAUAAUUUCUAAACAUUUCAUAAUCAUAGCAAAAUCCAUUCAAAUAUAUGUUUAACGUCCCUUACUCGAGCCCUCGAAGCCUUGGAAACACUUUAGAAUCGAUUCGGGAGUAAAUCAGAAACAUUUAGAAUUUUAUCGAAAAAGAUGAAAAAUUUCACACUGCAGGGGUCACACGGCUGUGUGGACAUUCAAAAUAGGGACACACGACCAUGUCUCAGCCCAUAUAACUCUUUCACUUGGGUCACACGACCAAUCAACACGUCCGUGUGCCAUGCUGUGUAAAUCUUGAAAUGGCCUCACACACCCUAUGCCAAGCCGUGUGCUAGGCCGUGUAACUGCCUCACUUGCAACCCUUUAAAACCUAUAGUGGACACACGGCCGUGUCUCAAGGCUGUGUGUCACACACAGCUGAGACACACGCCCGUGUCUUAGGUCGUGUGGACAAGAAAUAGGCCAAUUUCAAGCCAUUUCUUUCACCGAAUUCAAGCUCACACCUACAAGCCAUUUGCACAUACAAUCAAGCUUUAAAAACAUACCUAAAACAUGCAUAAUAGGUCUAAUUCAAUAUGGUAUCUAUCCAUAAAACCAAUAUGCGAAAAAGCACCUCAAUCACAAAUCAUCAAAUCAACCUAAACAUAAAUAUACUAUCCAUGAAUCAACCAUACAUAACUACCUAUUUCCAUACCAAAUCAUACCACAAUAACCAUAUGCCAAACCACACUCAAGCAUACCAAAUUGUUCAUUCAAAAAUAUCAUUACUUGACCAUGUCAACAUUAACCAUCAAAGUAUUAAAAUGCUAAAAGUUCAUCAACCAUAAUAACACAUUUACAAGCCAAACAUAAUGACUAUCUUAUCAAGCACAAUUCAACUAUACAUGCCAUUAUAACCAUGACUCAAAACAUCGAAAUCUACUGAAACAGUCGCUGGAUAGUGUGAUAGGUCUCUAAUGAGCUUCCAAACUGAUCGAGCUUCUAAUUAUCUAUAAAACAUGGGAAAUGAGACUAUGUAAGCAUAUAAUUCUUAGUAAGUUCGUAUAACAUAAAACAUAACUUAUCAUUUCAUUAUAUAAAAUUUAACAUGAUAUAAUCCAACCUUUAGCUUGGCACAAACCUAAGCACCAACACAAACAUGUUAGCAUACUUAAACAUAAUUCAUAUGAAUUUAACAUGGAUAACCAUUAUUCUUGAACUUGAUUCAAUUGGAUUUGUCAUCCAUCAUAACAUAACAUGUUUUUCAUGUAGCUCCCUAUUUCAAUGCAUUUCAUACAUACAUGUCUUGGUUCAUAUUGAACACUUACCAUUUACUUUCAAAUUCAUGCCCGUUGAACUGUUUAGAAUAUCAUCGGAUACGUGGGAUAGCUCACACGAAGUGUGCCAAAGAUAUAAUCAUAACAUUUCCUUUCUUUUACAUCGUUGCUCACACGAGCUGUGAAAUAGGCCUGCUCACAAGAGCCGUGGGUUAGAAUGUAAGCUACAUGAUGCUGCUCACACGAGCUGUGGAGUAUCCGCAACACAUACCGAACCUCAACCAUCGAUAGGACAUUUAAGACCAGCACCCAAAACAUGGAAACCUUAAUGACAUGCCAUUUGUAUCAUACGAAUUCCUAAGGUUCAAACAAGGCUCAAUAAUCUUCGUACGUCGUUGGAUUUCCAUUAAUUAUUUACAUAGCAAUCCACAAUUUACAUAUAUUUAAAACAUUACAUAAUUACACAAACUUACCUCAGCAAUAAAGGCAUAAAAACAGAGUCGACUAAUCCGAAGCUUUAUCUUUACCGCGAUCUAAAGCCGUACAAGGUCUAUCUUGAUCUAAAUAAAUAAAUUCAAUCUAUUUAAUAUCCAUUCUAUUCAAUUAAUCCAAAAUUCAUAUUUUUUGCAAAAUAACGCUUUUGCCCCUAUUAUUUUGAUUUCAUUACAAUUUACUCCUUAAGCUCGUAAAUUGAAAUUCAUACAAUUUCAUCCCUACCCAAGCUAGCCGAAUUCAAUAUAGGUCCAUAGCAACUCAUACAAUUCAUUAUUUUACAAUUUUCACCAUGUAUUUUACACAUUUUACAAAUAAAUCCCUAUUUGACAUUUUUAACAAAAUUCACUUUACAAAAUUUUUUUAUUUAUCAACAAAGAUUCAUUUUCUUCUAUCAAACAUAAAAAAUCACAUGCACACAUUCAUGGAAAAACUAACCUUUUAAAAUUUUUUCAAAUUAGUCCCUGGGCUAGUUAGAUUAAGCUACAAUGACGUCAAAAACAUAUAAAUCAUUAUUUGUACUUACAUGCAAGAGGGAGAGAUGCCAAAUGCUUGAAGUGUUAACAAUGGUGUUUUCUUAGGUCAAAUUUCAGUGGAAGAUGAAAAACAAAGAUGAUAGCUUUUGUUUUCAUUAAUUUACUAACAUUUAUUUUUUAAAUUACUUAUUUAAACUUAUUAUUAAUAUAUAAAAACACCUAUUUAGUGUCCAUAUUUGUCCACUCAUACUAAAAAUGGUAUAAUUACCACAUAAAUCCCUUAAGCAUUUAAUUUCAUAGUCAUUUGGUACUUUUAACUUAUAGAACUCUAAUUUUGCAUCUUUUAUGAUUUAGUCCUUUUCACCAAAUUAAACAUGCAAACGAUAAAAUUUCUUAAUGAAAUUGUUUUACGACCUUGCUAGUAUCUCGUAGACAUUAAAUAAUAAUAAAAUAAAUAUUCACACAUUGAAUUUGUGGUCCCAAAACCACUAUUCUGAUUUCACUAAAAACGGACUGUUACAACUCUCCUCCCUAAAGGAAUUUUCGUCCCUGAAAAUCUUAAUAGUAAAGAGGUUUUGGUAUUGCUCUUUCAUAGCUUUUUUCGGUUCCCAUGUGGCUUCUUCUAAACCGUGUUGUUGCCAAAGAACUUUCACUAAAACUAUUCUUUUAUUUAUCAAUUCUUUAACCUCUCGAGCUAAAAUUCUGGUCGAUUUUUCACUGUACGACAUACCAAGCUGAAUCUCGACAUCAUGUGGGAUAACAUGUGAAGGGUCUGAUCUAUAUCAUCGUAACAUAGAUAUGUGAAACAUAUUAUGGAUAUUUUCUAACUCUGACGACAAAGCUAAUCUAUAAGGUAUUGGCCCAAUUCUUUCAGUAAUCUCAUACGGCCCGAUAAAACACAGACUAAGCUUUCCUUUACGACCAAAUCGUAGGACUUUCUUUCAGGGCGAGACUUUCAAGAACACUUUAUUGUCGACUUGAAAUUCAAUGUCUUUACGUUUUAAAUCCACAUAUGAUUUCUGUCGAUUUGAAGCUACUUUCAAACUAUCUCGAAUAACCUUCACUUUUUCUUCGGUUUCUCGUAUCAAAUCAACCCCAUGAAGCCUUUUCUCACUGAGCUUAGUCUAAUACAAUGGAGUUCAAAACUUUUGACCAUACAAAGCUUCGUACGGUGCAAUCUUUAUACUCGAUUGAUAAUUGUUGUUGUACGCGAAUUUCACUAACGGUAGAAAUUUCUCCCAGUUGCCUUCGAACUUUAAACAGAACAUCAAAGUAUGUCUUCGAGCAUCUGAAUCACUCACUCGGAUUGACCAUCUGUCCGAGGAUGAAAUGUUGUACUAAAAUACAAACAAGUACCUUGAGCUUCAUGUAACUUACUCCAGAAUCGUGAUGUAAACCGCAGAUCUCUAUAAAAAUAAUAGAAACUGGUACCCUAUGCAAUCUUACAAUUUCAAUGACAUAUAACUAAGCUAAUCUCUCAAGAAAGUAAUCAAUAUGUAAUGGGACAAAAUGUGUAGACUUCGUUAGACGAUCUACGAUAACCCAAAUUGCAUCUUUCUUUCUAGAAGACAAAGGUAAUACUGAUAAAAAUCCAUCGUGACGUGCUCUCAUUUCCACUCCGGAAUCAUCAUUGGCUGUAAUAGACCAGAAGGUACCUAAUGUUCAGCUUUAACUUACCGACAUACUAAAAUUCUCGAUACGAAUUCAGAAAUCUCUCGUUUCAUACCCGACCACCAGUACAUUUGCUUCAAAUAACUAUAUAUCUUAUUGCUACCAGGAUAAAUAGAAAAAUUACUAUUAUGAGCUUUAAGGAAAAUCUUCUAAACAAGAUCUGAAUUUCUCAGAACGCAUAGUCUACUUUUGAAGUAUAAACUAUCAUCGGAUCUAAUAUGAAAAUCUAAAUUAGGAUUUGAUUCAAUUCGUUUCCGUUUAGCUAUUAAUACAUCAUCGCACUUCUAAGCUUCGUAAAUCUGUUGUAAAAACAUCAUUCUAGCUUUCAACUUAGCUAAGAUCGAACCAUCAUCAGACAACGUCAAUUGCGUAUUCAACACUUUUAAAGUAAACAAAGACUUUCUACUCAAAGCAUCAGCAACUACAUUAGCUUUUCCCGGAUGAUAAUCAAUGAUCAAAUCAUAAUCUUUUAAUAACUCAAGCCAUCUGCGCUGUCUCAAAUUUAAAUCUUUCUUCAACAUUAAAUAAUUUAAGCUUUUAUGAUCUGUGAAUAUAUGACAUUUUUCGUUGUACAAAUGGUGUCGCGAAAUCUUCAAAGCAAACACAAUCAUUGUAAGCUCUAAAUCACGCGUCGGAUAAUUCUUUUUGUGCAACUUUAAUUAUCUAGAAGCAUACUCUAUCACUUUGCCUUCCUGCAUCAAAACACAGCCUAAACCAUUUAAAGAUGCAUCACUAUAAAUCACGAAUUCUUUACCCAAUUCUAGCUGAACUAACACCGGUACCUCGGUUAACAAUGCUUUUACUUGAUCAAAGCUUUGCUAACAAUUUUUAGGCCACUCGAACUUAACAUCUUUCUGCAAUAAUCUCGUCAUUAGUGUAGCAAUAAUCGAGAAUCCCUUAAUGAACCUUCUGUAAUAUCCAGCUAAUCCCAUAAAACUUCUAACCUCAAAUACAUUUCUUGAAAGCUUCUAAUCAACAACUGCAGAAAUUUUACUCGGAUCAACUUUGAUGCUUUCAAUUGAUACAACAUGUCCCAGAAAUCUGACUUCCUAAAGCCAGAAUUUGCAUUUGCUAAACUUAGUGAAUAAUUGAUUUUCACGUAACGUUUGCAAAUCAAUUCUCAACUGCUUGGCAUACUCUAUUUCAUCUCGUGAAUAAAUCAAGAUAUCAUCAAUGAAUACCACAAUGAAUCUGUCUAAAUACGGUCUGAAAAUUUUGUUCAUCAUAUCCAUAAAUACUGCAGAUGUAUUAGUCAAAACAAACGACAUCACAAGAAAUUCAUAAUGUCCAUACCUGGUCCUGAAUUGCAGUUUUUGGCAAAUUUGAAUCUUUAAGUCACAACUGAUAGUAACUAGAACGAAGAUCAAUCUUCGAAAAUACUGUUGCACCUUUCAAUUUAUUAAACAAAUCAUUAAUACGCGGUAACAGAUACUUGUUCUCCAUCGUGACUUUGUUGAGCUGGCGAUAGUCAAUACAUAAUUGCAUAGAUUCGUCCUUUUUCUUAACAAAUAGAAUGUGUGCACCCCAAUGAGAAAAACUAGAUCGAGCAAAACCUCUAUCUGACAACUCUUGCAACUGCGCUUUCAAUUCUUUCAAUUCUGUAGGUGCCAUUCUAUAAGGAGCUAUCGAUAUCGGAAAUGUUCCUAGUACUAACUCAAUAGCAAACUCAACCUCUCUGAUUGGUGAUAACCCAGAUAACCCCUUUGGAAACACAUCAAUACUUAUAUACCACUGGAACCGAUUCUAGCUUCAACGCAUCACAGCCUUUACUAACAUACCUCUGUGCUGACAUAGCUGAAAUCACAUUGGACAUAUUAUCCAGUCUAUCUGAUUCAAUCUAAAGCUUUUCACCAUUCUGACACUUUAGCACAAUAAGCUUUCAUCUACAGUUUACAACAGUAUCAUGAAUAGUUAGCCAAUCCUUACCCAAAAUCACAUCAAACUCAUCAAAAGGAAACAGUAUCAAAUCGGCUGGAAAGUUACAACCCUAAAUCAUUAAAGCACAAUUUUUACAAACUUUAUCAACUAGCAUGUACUGACCUAGGAGGUUCGUUACUUUAAUCACAAAUUCAAUGGACUCAACAGGUAAAUUCUUACUUGACACUGAUUCAUGCAUACAUACGAAUGUGUUGAUCUCGGAUCAAUCAAAGUAGUAACAUCAGCAUCAAAGAAAGAAAAUGUACCAGUAAUAACAUCUGGUGCUGAAGCUUCCUCUUGUGCACGGAUAGUGUAGGCUUUAGCCAGUACUCAUGCCUCGGAUCUCACAGUAGAGUCUUUUGUUCCAGUACGACUAUUGCUCGUAUUUAUAGGGUUUCGAGGUGGUCUACCUCUCACGACAGUGUUGCUCAGUCGAACAGUCUAAAACUCUUCUUUCUCUGACCUCUCUAAGCAGCCUUUGAGACAAUGCUCAAACAAACCACAUCUAAAACAUGACCCAUUUUUCAAUCUGCACUCACCAAAGUGUCAUCUAGUACAUUGUUGACAAUCAGGCCAGUUGCCCCUGACACUACCUACACUCGCUACAGACGUAGCUUGAGGUUUUGGACUCGCAUGCUGUUUACCUCUAUCCCUACUGGAAUAUUCCACUAAAGUUGUCAAACAGUUAUGAUGUUCUUUCGAUUUAUUCGGUGAUGACUGAUAUGACUUUCCAGUUUAUCUCUUUCUCAAUUCUCUAGCUUCACAAUAAACUUUUCUUUUCUUUGCUAAGCUCUUUGGCUUUAUGCGCUCGAUCAACUAAAAUGAAAAAUUCUUUCAAUUCAAGUAUCUCAACUAAAAGCUUUAUGUCUUCAUUUAACCCAUUUUUAAACCGUUUAUGUUAGAGUAUGCCCAAAGAUCAAUCAUGAGAUGGUUGUAAUAACAUACUUGAUUUAUCAUGUUUAUUAAUAUAAGGCAUUACCAUUAUUAUUUCAGUUUCUUUUCUGUGUGUAUAAAUAAACUUUUUUAUAAUAAUGUCCUGAGAAUAAUAUGAUUAUUCUUAAAUUUCAUUAGUCAAGUAUUAUUGUUGGAUAGGACAACAAUAAUGAAUUAAGACUAACAUGUAGUUGAUUGAUGAUAAAGAGUUGUCAUUGAUAUGGAAUGUCAGAAUCGAUGCAUGAAUAUGUGUGUUAGAGAACAACAUAUUGGACUGACCCGUUAUGAGUAUGUUUCUUAGAUUAUUAUGUAAUUGUCACGACAUUACUCAUAGUGAUUAAUAUGUAUAUGAUCCUCAGACUUGAGAUCAUCAUAAUCCCAACAUCGUGAGUUGUAUAUUUUGAUACAGUCAAAUGUACACCGUAACUGGGUGUUUUAUAAAGGCUGAUGUUGGAUAUACCACAAUCUAUGUAGAGGGAUAUGGUUGGUUGAUAUAGGAUAAGUCCCUCCUACAUAAUGGGAGUAAUAUCUGAUGCCACUUGAUUGAGUGAGACUAGAAAUGUAUGGCCAUGCUCAAAUAAGCUAAUAUGUGAUGUCAUACUUAUUUGUAUAUCAUAGUCUACUUAAGAUAUCAAGGAACAUGGAAUGGAUUAUACAAGUGUGACUAUUCCAUGACUUGUGUUCAAUCCAGAGAUAAAGGACUUAAGGAUUAUGAAAAGAUUAAUCUUAAAAAUGUUAUGUCGAAUCAUGAUUUCUUGUGACUUAGGUAGCAAUGAUGCAUUGCUAGGUGCCACUCAUUGUUUGUAACGUUGGAAUUGUUUCAACAUUACUGCUAACGUUACAAGAACCUACAGGGUCACACCUUAUAGUUGAAAUGAACGGAAUAAAACAUAAUUGGUAUUGUGUUUGGUUGUCGCAUGAAUUAAAUUAAUUAUAGAAUUAAUUUAAUUGGGUAGUCAAAUAUCGAACAAAUUAUAUGUACAAGGUUGUCGUACACAUAAUGAGAAUAUGAUUUUGGUUCGUAUAUAAAUAAAUAUAGUUUACCGAAAUCUUGAUUAUAAUUAAUGUAAUUAUAAUUUUCGGCUUUUAAGUAUUAUUAUAUUUAUUUAUUUAAUUUUGAGAAACCUUAAAAAAUUUAAUAAGAUAUAAAAUCUCGUUUUCUUUGCUUGGUGGGUUUAGCAUCCGUCAAAGCAAAGUCCUUUCCAAAACUGCUUGAGGAUUCCUUCCGUUCAUAGUCAACUGGGUGGAUUACGUAGAGGUCGGAGUCAUCAAAGAUUGUAACUUGGUUCGAGAGUAGAUCAAAUUACUCAUUGCUGAGGUGUCGCUGUCUACUCAGAAUCAAAUUCGGUAAUUUCGAAACCCUUUUUCACCCCGUUUCGUUCCUCACACUUGAAUCCAUGAUUAGGAUCGCCAGGUGUUUUAUUUUUCUGCUACACCGUAGAGGUGCCGGCGUUCCAACAGUUUACACAUGGCAACUUUAGUUGGGAAACACUCUCGGGCAUACUUACUCAGUCUAACAAAUUCCCUCUCAUACUCGAGCACUGUUAUUCGACCUUGUUUAAGCUCAAGAAACUCUUUGUAUUUCUGGUCAAGAAAUAUUUGCCUUAUAUACUUUUUUUGGAAUUCGGUUUGAAAUAAUUCCCAAUCUAUAUGCUCUCUCAGUACCACUGAAACCAAAUUAUUCCACCACUAAUAAGCUGAGUCUGUCAGUAAAGAUACAUCACAUUUUACGCACUCUAUUAAUGUACAAGACAACUCAUCAAAAACCCUGAUAAUAUUUUCUAACCAGAACUCGACUCUCUCUGGGUCAUCUUCAGCUGUAGCUCUAAAUUCUUCAGCUCCAUAUUUAUGAAAUUUAUCAACUGGCGGCUUACUAACUCAUAUUGGUUCCAAACCAUGAGGAACUACGGGAACUGGUUUGGGAACAGGUGGGGGUAGAGGUUGUUGAGCCAUCAGGUUCAUUCAUACAAACUCGGUAAAGCAUUUGUUCAUCAUAUGGAAGAAGGCUUCCUUAGCCUCUCUUCCCUGGCCCUUAGAUACUGGCCUAGUGCCACUUGACACUGCUCUUUGAACGGAGGCUUGCGCGUUACUUUCAACUUCAUCAGAGUCAGCUCGGUUGGAUGUCAUUUCUAUAUGAAAACAUAUAUCAAAACAUGUUAGAAGUUAUCACACUAUCACAGGUUAUAUAAUGGGAUGUAUUUCUAGACUCGUACACGUUACAUUUGGUCCAAGAAUCGACUAAAUCGUAGCUCUGAUACCACUAAAUGUAACACCCCUAACCUAUAUUAGUCGUUGAAAUCAGUUACGAAGCAUUAUCGUAAAAACAUAACAUCAAAUCAGUUAUUUCUAAACAUUUCAUAAUUAUAGCAAAAUCCAUUCAAAUACAUGCAUAAUGUACCUUACUCGAGCUCUCGAGGCCUUGGAAACACUUUAGAAUCAAUUCAGGACUAAAUCGAAAACAUUUAGAAUUUUCUGGAAAAAGAUAAAAAAUUUCACACUAUAGGGGUCACACGGCCGUGUGGACAUUCUAAAUAGGGACACAUGGCCGUGUCCUAGAUCGUGUCUGUGCCCGUGUAACUCUCUAACUUGGGUCUCACUACUAAGCUACAUGCUCUGUGUGCUAGGCCAUGUAACUCUCGAAAUGGCCUCACACACCCGUGUGCCAGUGUAACACCCCUAACCUGUAUCCGACGCUGAAAUAGGGUUACAGAGCAUUACUAAAAACUUCUAACUUAAAACAUUUGAUUAUAAUCAUUUAUAAAACACAUCAUAUUCCAUUCAAACACAUACAUAACGUCCCUUUUUCGAGCCCUCAAGGCCUUAGAAACACUUUAGAAACAAUUCGGCACUGAAUUGAAAACAUUUAGAACUUCAAGGAAAACGGUAGAAAAAUUCAUACUAGAGGGGUCACACGGCUGAGACACACACUUGUGUCUUAGGCCGUGUGGGCAUUCGAAGUAGGGACAUACAGUCGUGUCCUAGCCUGUGUCCAUGCUCGUGUCCGUGCUCGCGUAACUCUCUGACUUGGUUCACACAGCCAAGCCACACGCCCGUGUGCCGGACUGUGUAACUCUCGAAAUGCAACCUAUAAAAACUUACAGGGGACACACGGCAGUGUCGCAUGACCAUGUGUCACACACGGCUGAGACACACGCCCGUGUCUUAGGCCGUGUGGACAAGAAAUAGGCCAUUUUCAAGCCAUUUACUUCACCCUAAACAUGCUCACACAUACAAACCAUUUGUACCUAUUUUAAGCAUUAAAAAAUGUACCUACCACAUGCAUAUUCAAGCUAGAUCAUCUUAGUAGUUAACCAUACAACCAAUAUGCCAAAAAGACACCUCAAUCACAACAAUCAAACUUGAUUAUACAUUUGCUAAGUUUAGCUAUAAAUCAACCAACCAUUUGAACUAAUUCUAUACCAACAUUUACCACAAUGUUCACAUACCAAUCAUACUCAAAUAUACCAAUUUGACCAUUCAACAACUAUCAUCAAUAAACCUUAGCAAACUUGGCCAUAUGCCAACCACAUCCAAAUAUACCAAAUUAGCCAUUUAUCUACUCAAUACUCACUAUCUAUCUCCAUAUCAAACCAUACCUCAAUGAAAAUAUUCAAGUAUAUCCAAAACAACAUUUCAUAGCAUGCAUAUUUAUUCAUCAUUCCAACUACCAUCACUUAAGUACCAAAAUGCCAAAAUAGCAACCAUUAAAAGACCAUCCAUACAUGUUAACAUAACCACCUAAAUGACAUAAACCAACGAUUUCCAAAAGGUACCAAUCAACCAACAUUUAUAUACCAUACUUACAUCAUGCACAUCUUGCUCAAAACCUUUCCAAAAUGAACUAUAUUUUGACCAUGUUGAGAUCAAUUUAUCACAUACCAUUUUGGCCAUUUAAAGAUACAUUAACAUAUACCAAUUUUGGUCAUUUCAAAAUAUGCAUCAAUUUGACCAUAUUAACCAUAACCAACAAGACAUCAAUAGUACUUUAAGUACCUCAACUCCAAGGCAACAUUUCAUGCCAUAAUCAUCAACCAAAAUGGCAUAUACAUGUCAAACUCAUCAAUUAAACAUUAAACAUAGUCCACCUAUACAUGCCAUUAUAACCACUACCAAAGCAUCAAGAUCUACUGAUAUAAUCGCUGGAUAAUGUGAUAUAUCUCCGACGAGCUUCCAACCUAAUCGAGCUUGUGAUAAUAUGAAAAGUAAAGGAAAAAUAACUACGUAAGCAAUGAAUGCUUAGUAAGCUCGUAUAAAUCAUAAGCAUAAUAUUACAUUUCAAUAAUGAAAUUUAUAGGUUAAAUACAAGCAUAUACCAAUGCCUCAAGAUUUAUCCAACCAUAGUUAUUAACUCACAAUUGAAUAACCUUUCUAUAAGAUUAUAUAUCUUUUUAUUUACUUUCUUUUCAUUCUGUUCCCAAUGCUUAUCAUAAGCCUAAACAAACAUUAUCAAUUCCUGACUUAGUGUAUUUAUCCGUAAUAUAGGUAUAUUCAUCCAUAGCAUAAGUAACUUGUUCACAUAUAAGUACAUCAUUUAUCAUAUUAGACCUUUUAUAACAUCAUGAUACAUCCCAAUUACGUACUUAUCGUUUCAUUUCCUUUUCUUACCCGUUUCAUAUGCAUAGUACAAGCGUAAUUAUAAACAUCAAUAAUAUCCACAAGCUUGGCAUAAGCCUAAGCACAUCAACAAUACAUGUUAGUUCAUUUAAACAUGAUUCAUAUGACAUGGAUAACCAUUAUACUUGAGCAACAUUUAAUUUGAUUUAUCAUCCAUCUUAUAACAUACCAUGUUUUCCAUGUAUCACCAUUUUAAUGAGUUUCACAUGUACAUAUCUUAAUUCAUAUUGAACACUUACCAUUCCAUUUGCAUAACACAUAAGACAUAAACAUAGCAUUAACCAUAGUCACAAGUUAGUGAUUAAACACAUAACUUAGCUAUAUCAUCAAUUGGUAAAAUAUGGUACAUAAACAUAACAUCACUUAAGUCAUACUUCUCAUAAUCAUGAAUGUUCUUACUUUGAUCAUCGAUACAUCAUACAUUUCCAUAAUUUUUGUAGUGAAAUCAAUAGGAACCCUUAUCGGUUCAUCCCUUUUCAUGCCCAUUGAACCACUUAGAAUAAUACCAGAUACAUGGGAAAGCUCACACAAAGUAUGCUAAACAUAUAGUUGUAGCUCACACAGGCUAUAAAAUGGGUCUGCUCACACAAGCUGUCGGUCAGAAUGUAAGCUACACGAUGCUAUUCACACAAGUUAUCGAGUAUUCGCAACUAAUGCCAGAUCUCAGCCAUAGGUAGGACAUUCAAGACCAGCACCCAAAACAUGGUAACUUGGGUCUGAUCACACAAGCUGUUAGUCGGAAUGUAGCUACACGGUGUUGCUUACACAAGCUGUCAAGUAUUCGCAACACAUGUUGGAACUCAGCCACCGGUAGGACAUUUAAGACCAGCACUCGAAACAUCGUAACCCUAAUGACAUGUCAUUUGUAUCCUAUAAUUCCUAAGGUUCAAACGGGGCUCGAUAAUCGUCGUACGUCGUUAAAUUUUCAUCGUUUCUUAACAAAAUAAAUUGCAUAAUAACAUGUAUAUAAUGAUUCAAUCACAAUAGAACCAGAUACUAACAUUCAAUUUAAUCAACAUUAUACAGAAUUUAGUUCAUAUGAACUUACUUGGCCAAAUUGCAGAAAUGAAAAAGUACAUGAGCAUUUUGGUAAUUUUUCAUUCUCCUCGAUUUUCCACUCGAUCUUUAUCUAAAUCAACAAUUUCAUUCAAUCUAAUAAUUUAGAUAGUAAAAUAAUGUAUUUUAUGCAAUUUAGUCAUUUUAUAUUUUUACAAAAUUGCCCUUAAAGUUUUACUUUUAUUCAAAUUAGUCUUUGAGCCCAAAACAUGCAAAUUAACCAUUUUUAAUGCCAAUUUAUAAUAGCUAAAUAUUCAUGGCACCUGUAUCAAUCCAUAUUUGCAAAAAUUUCACAUCAAAUCCUUGAACUGUUACUAUUUUAAUAAUUUAGUCCCUAAUUGGAAAAUUUAUCAAAAAUUACUUAAUAAAAUACUUUUAAAUAACAAAUAAUAUCUCAAAUUCAUCAUUUAACAUCUAAAAUCACAAGGUUCAUCAAUGGCAACAUUCAAAAUCUUUAAAAAUUUCAAAAUCGAAGGUACGGGCUAGCUAAACCUAGUUGCAACGAUCUCAAAAACAUAAAAAUUAAAACCAAUGGAUGAAAAAUGGCUUACCACGCAAAGGUAUAGCCAUAGUCGAACCUUGAAGCAUAACAAUGGUGUAUUUCGGUGGUGAACAAGCCAAAUGAAGAAGAAAAUUUUAUGUUUUCUUAUUCUUAUUAUAUUUUUAACCUUUAUUCUUUAUUUUAAUAAUAAAAUAACUUAUAAAACUUAUAAAAUUAAAAGAAAUUAAAACUUAAAUCGUCCACCAUAUAAAGAAUGGGUAAUUUACCCAUUAAGGCCAUCCAAUUAUGAUUCUUUAAUCAAUUAACACCUUUAAACUAAUAGUAAUUGACUUUUUCAACUUUUACGAUUUAGUCCUUUUCGCUUAAUUAACGAUCGAAACGUUAGAAUUUUUAACGAAACUUUAAUACCACAUUAAUGACACUUCGUAAAUAUUUGUAAAAUUAUUUAUGGCUCGGUUUAUAGAAACGAGGUCCCGAUAUCUUAUUUUUUAAAACCACUUGACCUUAGGGUUUUACCACUUGACCUUAAAUAAUCAUUAAUAUAACAAAAAUCGCUAUAUCAAAACCCUUUUUAAAACCAUAUUUGACUUGUAAAUAUUAAAUAAUAAUAUUUAUGAACUUACUCGUCGAAUUUGGUGGCCCUAAAACCACAGUUUUUGAUACCACUGAAAAAUCAGCUAUUACAGCCAGGCCAUGUAACUGCCUAACUUGCAAUGCUUUAAAACUUACAAGGGACACACGACUGUGUCAGAUGACCGUAUGUCACACACAGCUGAGACACACAUCCGUGUGGAUAAGAAAUAGGCCAAAUUUAAGCCAAAUCUUUCACCCAAUUCAAGCUCACAGCUACAAGCCAUUUGCACAUACAAUCAUGCUUUAAAAACAUACCUAAAACAUGUAUAAUAGGACUAAUUCAAUAUGGUAUCUACCCAUACAACCAAUAUGCCAAAAGGCACCUCAAUCACAAAUCAUUAAAUCAACCUAAACAUAAAUAUACUAUCCAUGAAUCAACCAUACAUAACUACCUAUUUUCAUACCAAACCAUACCACAAUAAGCAUAUGUCAAACCACACUCAAACAUACCAAAUUUUUCAUUCAAAAAAUAUCAUCACUUAACCAUUUCAACAUUAACCAUCAAAGUAUUAAAAUGAUAAAAGUUCAUUAAUCAUAAUAACACAUUUACAAGCCAAACAUAAUGACUAUAUUAUCAAGCACAAUUCACCUAUACAUGCCUUUAUAACCAUGACUCAAAGCACCGAAAUCUACCAAAAUAGUCGUUGGAUAGUGUGAUAGGUCUCCGACGAGCUUCCAAAUCGAUCGAGCUUCUGAUUAUCUAUAAAACAUGGAAAAGGGGACUAUGUAAGAAUAUAAUGCUUAUUAAGUUCGUAUAUCAUAAAACAUAACUUACAUAAAACAUAACUUACCAUUUCGUUACAUGACAUUAAAAAUUAACAUGAAAUAAUCCAACCUUUAGCUUGGCACAAGCCUAAGCACCAACACAAACACAUUACCAUACUUGAACAUAAUUUAUAUGAAUUUAACAUGGAUAACCAUUAUACUUGAACUUGAUUCAAUUGGAUUUAUCAUCCAUCAUAACAUAACAUGUUUUUCAUGUAGCUCACCAUUUCAAUGAAUUUCAUACAUACAGGUCUUGAUACAUAUUGAACACUUACCAUUUCCUUUAAAAUUCAUGUCCGUUGAAUCGUUUAGAAUAUCACCGAAUACGUGGGAUAGCUCACACGAAGUGUGCCAAACAUAUAAUCAUAACCUUCCCUUUCUUUUACAUUGUUGCUCAAACGAGCCGUGAAAUGGGCCUGCUCACAUGAAAUGUGGGUCAGAAUGUAAGCUACACGAUGCUACUCACACGAGCUGUGGAGUAUCCGCAACACAUGUCGGACCUCAGCCAUCAAUAGGACAUUCAAGACCAACACCCGAAACAUGGAAACCCUAUGAGAUGUCAUUUGUAUCCUACGAAUUCUUAAGGUUCAAACGGGGGUCGAUAAUCAUCGUACGUCGUUGGAUUUCCAUUAGUUAUUUACAUAACAAUCCACAAUUUACUUAUAGCUCAAAAGAUAUCAUUAAAACAUUACAUAAUUACACGAUCUUACCUCGAUAAUAAAGGCGUACAAACGGAGUCGACUAAUCCGAAGCUUAAUCUUUACCCUGAUUUAAAGCCGUAUGAGGUCUAUCUUGAUCUAAAUAAAUAAAUUCAAUCUAUUUAGUAUCCAUUCUACUCAAUUCAAUCCAAAUAUCAUUUUUUUCAAAAUUAAGCUUUUUCCCCUAUUUUUUUAUUUCAUUACAAUUUACUCCUUAAGCUCGUAAAUUAAAAUUCAUGCAAUUUUAUCCCUAUCCAAGCUAGUCGAAUUCAAUAUAGGCACUUAGAAACUCAUAAAAUUCAUUAUUUUACAAAUUUCACCAUGUAUUUUACACAUUUUACAAAUAAAUCCCUAUUUGACAUUUCCAACAAAAUUCACUUUACAAAAGUUGUUUAUUUAUCAACAAAGAUUCAUUUUUUUCCAUCAAACAUCGAGAAUCACAUGGAUAAAUUCAUGGAAAAACCCUAACCUUUUAACAUUUUUGCAAAUCAGUCAUUGGGCUUGCUAGAUUAAGCUAUAACGACUUCAAAAACAUAAAAUCAUUAAAAGUAAAAUGAAUUUUAAUUACAUGCAAGAGGGAGAGAUGACUGAAUGCUUGAAGUGUUAACAAUGGUGUUUUCUUAGGUCAAAUUUUGGUGGAAGAUGAAAAACAAAGAUGAUAGCUUUGGUUUUCAUUAAUUUACUAACUUUUAUUUAUUAAAUUACUUAUUUAACCUUAUUAUUAACAUAUAAAAACACCUAUUUAGUGUCCAUAUUUUUCCACUCAUGCUAAAAAUGGCAUAAUUAUCUUAUAAAUCCUUUAUCCAUUUAAUUUCAUAGUCAUUUGGUACUUUUAACUUAUAGAACUCUAAUUUUGCAUCUUUUACGAUUUAGACCUUUUACCAAAUUAAACAUGCAAAUGAUAAAAUUUCUUAAAGAAAUUUUUAUCCGACUUUGCUAGUAUCUUGUAGACAUUAAAAUAAUAAUAAAAUAAAUAUUGACACAUCAAAUUUGUGGUCUCAAAACCACUAUUCUAAUUUUAGUAAAAAUGGGUUGUUACACACAAGCUCACCUUUUUUAAUUAAAUUUUUGACAACUUUAGCUAAGUGUGAACACUCUUGUCGUCCAACCCAUGUUGCCAUACUAGGGAAGAUUCUUUCCUUGAUUACAAGAUCAACAUUCCCUUUUUUCUCCCUUUUUCACUCCCAUGAUCCCCUUUCCAAGCCGUUGUUCCCUCAACCUACCAAAUUCAUCCCUUACCUUGCCUCGGCCGGCCAUGCACCUAGACAUGUUUAUUUCGCUUUUUAUUUUAUUCAUUUUUCUCUCCUCUCCUCUCUUUUCUAUCCACGACCUUGCUCCUCUCCAUUUUUCUAUCUUUUUCUUCCAUUUCACUACCUAAAUCACCCUUUCUUCUCAUUUCUCCCCUACUCCGCCACCAUAUAAGGUCGCUACAGAUCCACCUCACCACCACCGUCGUUGUGACCGCUGUUGAGUUGUCACAUCGUCGCCGUCAACCACAACCCAAAAGUUUCUAAUUUUCUUCUUUUAUCCUUUUUUUUGAAAUUUAUCUAUAUAAUCCCUCAAUUCUUUUUUUCAUUAAAGGGUUACUUCCAAUCCUAUUUUCUAACUUUUUAUUUUACAUCAUAUUAUUUUCUACUAGUACUGAAUCCUCCUCUCUAAUCAUCAUAUUGUGGGAAAUUGUUGAGCCCUCUUUCCUCUAUUACUACGUAAGUAUAGUCAAUCUUCUAUCCUUGAUUCACUAUUGUAUAUUUUAUACAUACAUACAUACUUGACUAAGACAAUGCUAGCCAUUUCAAUUUAUGGGUUUCAUUGAAGUGCUAAUAAAAAAAUCUCAAUUUCGUAACCCCAAUUGUAGAAGUAAACAAUUAAGUCGAAGGAUUUCAGGCUCGAGAAUCAAACUCUUUCGUUAGAAGUUGGCAUUGGGAUCAUAGCAAAUGGAUCUGGAAAGGUGUGGGGGUUUGUUUUGCUAACAAUGGUUGAUAUCAUAUUUAAUCAAGAUAAUAUUAUUAUGAGAAAUAAUUAAUUACUGUUUAAAUAAUUAUUUAGAAAGUGAUAUUGGGUGAAUACUUUAAGUGUUCAUAUAGAUUGGUAAAAUCUGUUAAAAGAGGAUUCAAGUAAGUGUUUUGAAACUUUAGAUCUGUGAUGAAAUAUGCGAUUGUGUGCUUUCUGUUAAAAAUGUUGAUGUGUGAUUUCCUGACACUCAUGUUAUGUGGAAUAUGGUGAUUUGAAUGUGUAUUUACAAUAAACAUGAUAAUGGAUUAUUGAUGUUUUAAUCGCAUGUUAAGCAUGUUAAUGUUCUGAUAUUUUGGCUCGCAUGUUAAGCAUGUUAUUAAUUUGAUUUUGACUCGCAUGUUAAGCAUGCCAUGAUUUCUCAUUCUGAUUUGCAUGUUAGGCAUGCCAUUUUAUUAAACCGAAAAUAAAUCUAAUUCGCAUGUAAAGCAUGCCUAUUGUAAAAUAUGUUCUUUAUGCCAUAUCACAUGCAUGGGGUUGGGAUAAUGUGUAUGGAGGAAGUAUCUGGCAAUUUAACUACAUAUUGAUAUGAGUAAGCCAUCAUUGCCUAAUAAAUCGAGGUGGCAGUUCAUCGUUGCUAGAAACUCGAGAUGAAUUAACUGGUGGUAUACUCGCAAUAUUCUGUACCUGGUAGUAUAUCUGCAUUAUCUGGUAGCUCAACCACAAUAUUCUGUUUCUGGCAGCUCGACUACACUAUUUGGUGGCUUGACCAUAAUAUUGGUGUGUAGCGGAGAUAGGUAGGAUCUAUUUUUUGAAAAAUCUACACUGAUUUCUUAAAAAGUGUUGCAUUGACAUCGACAUUAUGCAUUCUGAUAAAUGAGAAAUUGUGACUGAAUAUCUAUAUGUAUAUGAUCUGUUUAAUUUGAUGUUUUAUGUGUUAAUUUCUGUUAUUAUGAUUUGUAACCCACACUAGGCUUUUAAAGCCCACCCCUUUUUAAUUCUGACUUUUCAGAUAAUAAUCGAGGUUAGGAUAGGCUCGAUUUACGAAUGUGCUCUCGGUCAUUUUCAAAAAAAAUAUUAUUUUAGGGAUGUGUUUUUAUUACUAUAGAUUUUUCCUUGGGAUUUUCUUUUGGGCUUUGGAUUAUUUUGGUUUUAGAUUUUUCUGCAUGAUUUAGGUUUUAAAAAUAUCAUUUAAAACAUUGUGAAAUUGACAAUUUACGAUGGAUUUUUCAUAACUAAGUCAAACAAGGCACAACAAGGGUGAUUUCAAAAUUCAAUACUUUGUUUUCGAAACUCAACACUAUCUGCUCACAAAAUUGAUAUUUUACAAUAUAUAUUAAAUCUACAUUUUAAAAAUGACAAACGAGUUUUAAAUUUGUAAAUUAUCCACUGCGAUGUUUAAAUUGAAGCAGGGCAUUUUCUGAAAAAUAUCAAAACUUGAGCUUUUUAUAGAUAAACAAUUUCAAAUAAAAUUUGGUUUUCUCAAACAAGUUACAAGGACAUUUUUAGCAACGAAAAUUUUAAGAGAAUAACUAAAUGAUUUUCUGCGCCAGCAAUAUGGCCAAUGUGAUCUUUGUGAUUUGGCCAUAACGCCUAGGCCGGGUGUAGGGGUUACAUUUAGAGACUCACCUUACACCCACGAACAACAGCUUGAUUUUAUGUUGAAAAUCCAAGCCAUAGUCAAAACUAAUUUUUAAAUAAAGUUUUGAUUUUGUUUUGAAAAUCCGAAACUCUGAAGCUGGCCGACAUAAGUACUUCUUACUUACUAAAUUUUUAUUGUGAAACUGUAGAUUUCUAUAUAUUGUGAAACUUUAAAUUCUGAAAACUAUAUUGUGAAACUCUAGAUUUUGAAAACUAUAGAUAUUGAUACUAUAGUGAUGAAACUUUUAGAACUGAAAAAAGUUUUGAAUUAAUAAUGAAAGCUUAUUUCUAAUUGUUAGAUAAAACUUUCAUAAAACUUAAGAAUUCGAUAAGAUGAGUACACAAAGCAUUCGUAAUAGUGGUAUGAGAGCUCGUGGAGAGUAGGGCCUAGGAACCCAAAUAGAUUUGUCAAUGUCACGAGUGCACACACCUAAGCCUUUGAUUGAACCUGAGCGAGUGGCUGACUAUGUAACAACCCGUUUUAGCAGAAUCAAAAUAGUGGUUUCAGGACCACAAACUCGACAUGGAAAUAUUUAUUUUAUUAAUAUUUUAAUAUCUACAACAUGUUAGUUAUGUCGUAUAAAACUUUCGUUAGGAAAUUUUAUUGUUUGCAAGCUUAAUUUGAUAAAAAUGACUCAAUUGCAUAAGGUGCAAAAUUAGAGUUCUAUAAGUAAAAGGUGUCAAAUUGCCAUGAAUUUUGAAUGAGUGGCCUUAAAUGGUAAUUAGACCAUUAAUAUUAUUAGUGGGCAAAGAUGGACAUCAUUUAAGUGAUUAGUAAAGGUCAUAUGUGUAAUUUAAUAAGUAAAAUCAAAUUAAGUAAAAACAAAACCAUUUUUUUUGUUCAUUUCAUCUUUUUGCGAAUUUUUCAAAGGGGAAACAAUAACAUUUUUAGGUUUUGAGCAUUCAGCAAGUUCGUCCUUGUGCAUGUAAGUGAUUUUUGUCCCGUUUUUAAUGAUUUCUAUGUUUUUUGAGUCAUUAUAGCUUAAUCUAGCUAGCCCGGGGACUAAUUUGCAAAAUUUUUAAAAGGUUAGGGUUUUACCAUGAAUGUUUAUGUGAUUUUUGUGAUGUUUUAUGGAAGAAAAUGAAUGUUUUUUUGUUAGUUAAACAACUUUUGUAAAGUGAAUUUUGAUGAAUUUAUUAAUUAGGGGUUAAAUUAAAAAAUGUGUAAUAUUCAUGGUAAAUUUUGAAAUUAAUGAAAAAUGUGAGCUACUAAGGAUUUAAUUGAAAUUCAAAUAGCUUGGGUUAGAAUUAAAUUUGCAUGAAUUUUGUUUUAUAAGCUUAGGAACUGAAUCGAAAUGAAUUCAAAAUUACAAGGGCAAAAAUGUAAAUUUUCUAAUGUAUGAUUUUUGGAUUGGACUGAAUUGAAUAGAAUGAUUAUUGAAUGGGCUGAAUUUGAUUAUUUAGAUCAAGUUAAGAAUCGUACGGAUUUAGAUCAGGGAAAGGAAAAUGUGUCAGAUUAGUUGAUUGUAUUUCUCCGUUUGUGAUUGAGGUAAGUUCAUACAUUUAAAUAACAUUUUAAUAUGUUUGAUAUAAAUGCUAUUUUGUUAUAUUAUUAUAUUAUGUUUCUACGGAAAAUUCCAACAAAGUUUUGAUGAAUUUCGGAUCCCAUUUUAACCUUAAGAUUAUAUAGGAUACAAAUGACAUGUCAUUAGGGUUACCGUGUUUUGAGUGCUAGUCCUGAACAUCCUACCGGUGGUAGUUUCGACAUGUGUUGCGAAUACUUGAUAGCUUGUGUGAGCAGCACCGUGUAGCUACGUUUUGAAUGACAGCUUGUGUGAGUAGACUCAUUUGUGGCUCAAGAUAGAGCACCUAUAUGAGGAUGAGGAAAUGGUUCUAACCAUAUGUUAGCACAUAUUGUGUGAGAUUCUCGCGUAUCUGAUAUUAUUCUAAGUGGUUCAACAGGUAUAUAAAGGGAAAGAAUGAUAGAUAUUUCAAUUAGUAAUGCCAUGAAAGCAUGAAAAGGUAUAAGUUGUUGAUGAUUAAAGUAUGCAUAGCCAUGUUCAUGAAACUAUGAAUGCUUAUAUGCUAAGUACAUGAAAUUAUUAUGUGAUGAAUUGGCUAAGUUAUGUGUUUAUCACUAACUUGAGUUGUUGUUGAUGCUUAGGCUUGUGCCAAGCUAUGUUGGAUUAUUUCAUACUUACUUUUAAGCCUAUAUAUUGAAAUGGUAAGCUUUGUUUGUGAUUUACGAACUUACUAAGCAUUAUAUGCUUACUUUGUGUUAUUUCUCUCAUGUUCUUAGAUAAUCGGAAGCUCAUUUGGGUUGAAAGCUUGUCGGAGAUCCAUCACACUAUCCAUUCGGCUAUAUCGGUAGAUUUUGAUGAUUUUGAGUCAUGGUUAUAAUGGCAUGUAUAGGUGUUUUGUGGUUUGAUGAAAUGGUUAGUAUAUAUAUGACUUGUAAUUUAGAACUUUUGGUUGAUGAAUAGGUUGUUGUGUUGGCAUGUUAAUGUGAUGUUUUAAUUGUUAACAUUUUGACAUUUUGAUGCUUAAAUGGUGAAUGAUGGAUUGGUAAAUCAGAUUCAUGCUAUGGAAUGUUGUUUUGAUAUGCAUGAUUGUGGUUGUUGAGGUAUGGAAUUUUGAAAGUAAACUUUGAAUUGAUAAAUGGCUAGUUAGCAUGUUUGGAUGAUUUGCCAUGUGGUCAAGCUUGCUAAGGUAGUAAUGAUAGGUGUUGAAUGGUCAUGUUGGUGUUCGUGAGUAUGAUAAUGGUGUGUGAACAUUAGGGAUAAUGGUGUGUGAACAUUAGGGAAAUGGUUAGUAUAAAACUAGUUACAUUGGUUACUUGAUUUGUGGAUAAAUUAGCAUAUGUAUAAUCAUGUUUGAAUGUUGAGAUUGAGGUGCCUUUUUGGGCAUAUUGGUUGUAUAAACUUACACCACAUUGUUUUAGCUUGAUUAUGCAUGGUUCAAGUACAAUCUGAAUGCAUGAAAUUAGGUGCAUUUGGUUUGUGUAGUGACUAGGCUUUGGGUGAGAAAAAUGGCUUGGAAAUGACCUAUUUUUCAUCCGCAUGGCUAGAGACAAGGGAGUGUGUCUCAGUCGUGUGUGAUACACGGCCAUGCGACACAGUCGUGUGUCCCUUGUAGCUUACAAAAGGUUGCAAGUCAGGCUAUUACAUAGCCUAGCACACCGGCAUGCGAGGUCAUUUCGAGGGGUACACGGCCUGGCACAUGGGCAUGUGGCUUGGCCGUGUGACCGAAGUCAAAGAGUUACAUGGGCACAGGAAAAGGCUGGGACACGGCCGUGUGUCCCUACUUUGAAUGCCCACACGACCUGAGACACGGGCGUGUGACCCUUACAGUAUGAAAAUUUUGUGAUUUUCCCAAAAAUUCUAUAUGUUUUUUAUUUAGUCCUGAUUAAUUUCUAAUUUGUCUUUAGGGCCUUGAGGGCUCAUAUAAGGGACAAUAAGUAUGAGUUUGAAUAAUAUUGCUAUGUUUUAUGUUAUGUUUUCAAUAUGUUGAAUAAUUGUUCGUUAUGAGAUGUAAACUUUCGGUAAUGCUCUGUAGCCUAUUCCAGCGAGGGAUACGGCUAGGGGUGUUACAAACUAGGUUGAAAAUACUCAUACCAUUGAUGAGGAUCAUCAAGAGCAUGCUAAAAAUGCUAUGUUACAGGCCAUUCUUAGGGCAUUAUAGCGUGUUGUUGGGGCCUAAAAUGGAUUAGGAAAUUGUGGGACUAUUGCGGAGAGGUUCCGAUCUAACCGAGCCAAAUUGUUUAGGGGCAUUACUAGGAUGACUCCUACCAUAUUGAAAUAUUGGUUAGAGUCCACAGAGAGAAUUCUAGAUGAAUUGGAGUGUACGCCAAAUAGAAAUUAAAGGGUAAUGUACCACUGCUUAUAGAUGAGGCUUACCAUUGGUGGCAAACCAUCAUGUGAGGUACUCAAACUAAGAGGCUGGCAUGGGAAUAUUUUUUUGAUGCUUUCUAGAAUAAAUAUGUGGGUACUCAAUAUGUCGAGGAUCGUAGAUUGGAGAUCAUCGAGCUCAAAUAGGGGUAUAGAUCUGUGGCUGAAUACGAGGCCAAAUUCUUAAGACUGAGUCACUAUGUUCAGGGGAUGAUCGCAACUGAGUAGGACAAAUGCAUCAGGUUCGAAAAUGAAUUAAUAUAUGAACUAAUGGUUCUAGUAGCCCUUCACCAAGAAAGAGUUUUCGAAACUUUAGUGGAGAAAAUAAAAAAUUGUUAAAGAAGUUAAGCGCGUAGAAUGCGAGAGAAAUGAUAAAGCUAAAAUCCCUAUUAAGAUAGAGAUGUUGGUCUUACUACACAAGCUCCGUGACUCAAUAAGCGGGCCAGAGAUGAUAGACCUCCACAGAAUAAUGAAUCUGUUAAUGACAGAACUAAACUCAGUCCCUUAGGGCAGUCUGUUUCUGAAAAAAAUUAAAUUAUUAUAAGAGAUACCUAUUAGAAAUUCAAGGAAAAAUAUCCCGCCAGACUUGAUGGAAUUACCCUUCAGGGAAUUUGACCUUAUAUUGGGAAUGGACUAGUUGGUGGAACACCAAGUUAAUUUGGAUUGCACUUCAAAGAUGACUAAUUUGAAAACUUUCAUUGGGAAAUAGAUAGUGCUGGUUGGAGAACGUAAAGAUUAAUUAUCUAAUGUGAUCUCCACUCUAGUGGCUGAAAAGUUGUUGCGCAAAUGAUGCAAAUCCUAUCUAGUUUAUAUUUUGGACACGAAUGUCAGUGAGUUAUCUGUUGAGAACAUUUGUACUAUAAGGGUCUAUCCCUAUGUCUUUCCAAAGGAGUUACCUAGAUCCAGAGCGUGAGGUAGAAUUUGGCAUUGAUUUGUUUCUAGGAACAACUCUUUUGUCCAUUGCUCCAUAUCGCAUGGCACCUAAAGUGCUAGUGGAACUUAAGGUACAACUUCAAGAACUUCUAAAUUGUGGAUUCAUUAGGCCGAGUGGGUUGCCAUGGGGAGCUUCAGUUCUGUUUGUUAAGAAGAAUGAUGGGUCAAUGAGAUAUUUAUUGAUUUUUGACAACUGAACAAGUUUACCAUUAAUAAUCGAUACUCUUUAUCGAGGAUCGAUGAUUUAUUCGAUUAGCUUAAGGAUACAAAAGUGCUAUCUAAGAUCGACUUAAGGUCCCCAUACUAUUAGUUGAAAGUGAACGAGACAGACGUUCCUAAUACCAUUUUCAAGACUCAGUAUGGCCACUACCAGUUCCUUGUGAUGCCCUUUGCUCUCACGAAUGCUCCUGCAACCUUUAUGGACCUAAUGAUUGGGUUUUUCAGCCUUACCUUGAUCAUUUUGUUGCGGUCUUCAUCGAUGACAUCUUGAUGUAUUGCAAGUAUGAAGAAGAGUAUGAUGAACAUUCGAGAGUGGUUCUGCAGAUUCUCUGAGAGAAAAAUUUAUAUGCCAAAUUGAGUAAAUAUGAGUUUUGGCUCCAGAAAGUGAUGUUUCUAGGACAUGUGGUAUCGACUGAGGGUUUGUGGCCUAUGUUGGAUUGUAAACAACCUAAGAAUGUCAGUGAGAUUUAAAGUUUCCAAAAAUUGGUUGGUUACUAUAGGAGGUUUGUGGAAGGAUUCUCUUUGAUUGCAGCUUCGAUGACCAAGAUAUUGAGGAAAAGUGCCCCUUUAAAGUGGACUAAAGAGCAACAACAGAGUUUUGAAAAGCUUAAGUCUGUGUUGACUCAAGUGCCUAUUCUGAUUUAGCCAGAGUCUGGGAAGGAUUAUAUGGUGUACAGUGAUGCAUCUCAUACCGGUCUUGGAUGUGUUUUCAUGCAAGAUGGUAAGGUUGGGGCCUACGCAUUGAAAAAAAUUAAGCAUCAUGAGCAUAAUUAUCCAACUCAUGAUCUCGAACUUGCUGUUGUUGUUUUUUCCCUCAAGAUUUGGAGGCAUUAUCUUUAUGGUGAGAUGUGUAUUAUUUACACAGAUCAAAAGAACCUUAAGUAUCUCCUCACCCAAAAGGAGUUGAACUUGAGGCAAAAGAGAUUGAUUGAGCUACUCAAGGAUUACAAUCUUAGCAUCGAGUACCAUCCGGGAAAGGCGAAUGUUGAUGUCGAUGCACUGAGUAGGAAGUCGAUAACUUAUCUAAGGGCAAUGUUCAUGAAGUUGAGUUUUAGUGAUGAUGGAGGUUUACUUGCAGAAUUACAAGUGAUGCUUACCUUAAAGGAUGAGAUUCGAUCGAAGUAAUCUGCUGAUGAGUCUCUCACACCUCGUUGCAAUCAAGUUGAGAAAGGUAAAACAACCAACUUUAGCCUUAAUUCUAUUGGAGUUUUGUGCUUCCAUGGAAGAUACUGUGUGCUCGAUGAUCGAGAGUUGAGGUAGUCUAUACUUCAGGAAGAACAUAGUAGCCCAUACACUAUGCAUCCUAGAUGGAAUAAGAUGUACUGAGACUUGAGAGAACAAUACUGGUGGCCAGGGCUUAAACGUGAUGUAAUCGAAUAUGUAAGUAAGUGUCUGACAUGCUAGAAAGUUAAGGCUGAGCAUCAGUUCUGCCUGUCCGUACCGAUUAUUCAUUACAUAAGUUGGUAAGGUUGUAUAUUUCUGAGAUUGUGAGAUUGCAUGUUGUACCGUUGUCCAUCAUUUACUAUUGGGAUCCUCGAUUUACAUCUCGAUUUUGAACAAAAAUUGCACGAGGCUUUGGGAAUUCAAUUGAAUGUUAGUAGAACUUUUCACCCACAAUUUAAUGGGCAAUCUGAGCGAGUUAUACAAAUUUUGAUGGACAUGCUUGAUCUAUUGUAAAUCAUACUAUUAUUUACAUCCUUUUUUACACAUAAUUAUAGCUUGUUUAAUAGUAAAUCAAAUCAUUUUAGUAUAUAUUUAGGUUAUCAUACUUAAAUUAGUAAUUUAUGCUUUCUAGUAGUUUUUAUUACAUUUUAUAUAUCUAAAUAAGGUUCCAUGGUCUUGUAGGUCAUGCCGGGAGCUAAAGAUGCUUAUUUGGGCCAAAACUGAUGCCUAUGUCACGACACCAAGAUACUGAUAUCUCAACGUCGAAGACAGAAGCUAAAAACAAGUUUUGGCACAAAAAUGCCUUUGGUGUCGUGUUUAGACUCUAAUCUUGCAACACUGUAGGCUUAUGUUGCAACCAACCCCCCGCAUAGCCCAAAAACUCAGGGACAUUUUAAUUACAUUUUUGAGGGAAAUUAGGUGUAUUUGUCCCAGUCGAACUCUAAGGACUUCAAGGAUAAUUUAGGCACUUUAAUAUUCUUCUGAGUUUAGCCUAUAUAAAGGUGAUUGUAAUUAGCUUAAACAUACAUUUUUAGGGUUUUGAUUCUUAGGUUUCUCUUUCAUUUUUAAUUUUUACUUAGGUUAUUUGAUGUUCUUGUAAUUAGAAGAUCUUAUUCUGAAGUGAGACUUCCAUGAAGAGAGAUUGUUCCGAAACCACGCUUUCAUCGAUAAAGCUAUGAACAUCUCUUUCCCUUAUUCUCUUCUUUAUAUUUCUUUAUUUAACAUUGCUAGAUGAAUGUUUGUGUAAACAUUAGAAUCAAUUUGUGUUUUCUACAUAUUUUGCAUGUUUCAAUUGCUUUAACUUAAUUAAUUACUAGAAUGAUAGGGUUUCUUAGCUGAUCAGUUGUUUGGGAAGGGAACAACAUGAAGCAAACCCUAGACCUGACAAACCUAGGAAGUUAUUUAGGUGGGAAUUAACCCAAAAUUGGAUGGCCUAUCUGUGAACACCUUAACCCCGAACUGGUCUGAGCUGUGAGGUAGGAAGAUAAGUACUUCUUACUGACUAGUUAUUCUAGUGGAGGAUCGGAAGAUCCUGCUAGGGUAUCAACUAGUUGAUUGAUUAGAACUCUACUUCAAUAAUGAAUUAGGUAAAACAAUUGGAUCUAGGCUAAAAGGAACUCGCGUAGUUAAAACAAGGAAUAGGAAAAGCUGAUAUAGGAACCUAGGAGUAGAUUUAAGUUUAGUUAAAUUUAUUUAGUUUCUUAUUAUUAUUAUCAUCUUGCUUCUUAAUUAACACUACCAAUUCGUGACUCGAGUAGAUUAGUAAUUAUUUCCCGUAAAUGAGGUCGGAAGAUAAGUAGUCAUUGCUGACUCAUUUUGUUCGUGGAUGAUUGGAGGGUCCUACUAGGGUAGCGACUAGUUGGUUGACGAGAACCCUGAAACGAUAGUUGAUUGAGAUUGCCGAAGCAAGCUAAUCACCCAUCAUCAAAUUUGAUUCCUUCUACUUUUUCUAUCUCUUGAAAUCUAGUUUUCUUUUAUGUUAUUUGUUUUUAUUAUUAGUACUAUAAAAAUCCCAAAAAUCUUUUACUUACGUUUUCGCAUUGUAACUUGAUUAAAGUAUUAAAUAGAUCUUUUAGUGUGUAGGUUAAAAUUGAUCUAGCCUUUGCCUCCCUUGGGUACGAUCCUCGAAGUACUCACCCAAUUCGUUGUAAAAUUAUAUUACAACUAGACCUAUAUACUUAUGGAUACCAUCCUGUAAUUCUAUAUGUUAAUGCAAUAUUCACACUCUGGACGUUAGUACGUUCGGAGGCGUUCAAGUUGUUGGCGCCGUUGCCGGGGAGGCAACGUCACUAGAUUGAUUUUAAUUUUUUCACUUUAAAAGAAUAAUUAGGAAAUGUGUAGGUUAUAAUUACAACUUCCAAUUUAUUUUGUCAAAAUUAACACUUCUAACAUUAGUUUUUAGGAAUCCUAGACACCGUUAACCAAAUAAUCAGUCAGCACAAACUCAUGGAUGACUUUUAUUAUAUGUGGUCCGAUGAAGACUUCAAUUAUGAUGAAGAUAUUUAUGAAGGAGUUUAUGAAGAUUGGGAGAUCCAGGAGAAUCAACGAUUACUAAUGCUUGAAUUGAGUCAACUCCGAGGAGAAACCCAAUUCUUCCCAAAGAUGAUGAUAACUAUAAUGAUAUGUUGUUAGAAAGGUACGAAGAGGUGCUAAGUCCGAAAUUGAGGUGAAAAAAGAAUAUCAUCAUAAAUGCUUGCGAAGGAGGAGAAAUCCCAGACCAUUAUCCACUUCAGCAUAGAGAAGAAUAUCCAUAAUAGGUGAAUGAAACAACAACAGAAAAAGGUAUGGAGUUGGUAGGGGAAAUGGCUAGUGAACCUAAUAGUCAGAUUAGUAUGGAACCCAUCGUUCCUUCAAUUAAGAGAUCUUCCGAUCAAGCAGGAACACCAGAGCAACAUAACGCAGACCCACCAAUAGAGACGAUGGCCUUCAUGCUCAACUCAGUGGAAGAAUGUCUAUCAAUUCGGGAAUUCACAAAGCAAAAUAAAGAGAAACCAGUAAUCUCAGCUGAUAAGCUUGAAUUGACCAUUCUUUGCAUGUCUUUAUUCCUAAAUCAACACCCUAGAAAUUCAAUGACCUAGGAGUUUUCCAGAUGUUGAACAAAAUUGGAAAAACAUUAAACCUAGCAGGCUUCAACCAAGUAGGACUGUAACCCUUCAAAUCGAUCCUAGACAUUACGGACCAAUUUAAGCGAUUACUUGGGACAUAGUUCUGGCCAAAACUUGAGUAGAAGUACGCUGGUUUAAUAUUUGAAAAACAUGCGCAAGUAUUCUUUUAAAUAUGACAUUUUUACUAAAAUUUGAAAGAAACUUGUUUAAUAUUUUUAAAACAAAACUUGAUGAUCUUUAAAUUAAAAUUCAAUAAAUUGAGUUUGCGGAAAAUGGUUUUAUUAAGAAAACACCAAAUUAUUUAAUCCAUAAUAAAAGUCCAUGCAAAUUGUUCGAUGUCCAAAAUCUAAAAAUCCCAUGCUACAAUUCUAUAGUCUAACAUAAAAUAAAUUCCCAAAUAUUAAUAAAGUCCACAAAAGUCCGAAACAUAAUAGAAAUCCAUAUUUAUAUAAAACCAUUCCCGAGAGCCUUACUGAUGACUACAUCCAAGUCCUAACCACAAGGAUUAUCUGAAAGACAUAAGUAAUGUGAGUGAGCUUUAAAAAGCCUAUUGUGAGAUCAACACAAAUAUAAUCGCAUACAUAUCAAAAUAUCAUGCUCAGCAUAUCAAUCAUCAUAAUAAUCACAAGUUCUAACACUGAUCUUAUGCAUGAACAUGUCGAUGCAUAUUUUAAAAUGAUGUACAUUUUAUAAAAUUUCCUACCCAUCUCCUCUACACACCAGUGUCGAGUUCCCCAGAACUCAUUCAUCUGAAAUACCAUUUGUUGACAAGCCACUAUUUUUUGCAGAUAAACUGCCACUGAUAACCCUUUUGUAAACAAGCCACCACUGAAUUGUAGAUAUACUGCCACUGAUAUGAUAAUCACAUAUCUUAUGAUAAUCACUUUUAACAUGUUAAAUCAUGGAUCUCAAUAUUUUUAACAUACACAUAUAUAAGUCCCACAUGUUUAAAUCAUCACAUAUAUCAUAUAAGCCGUACAUCACUUAUCAUGAGAAUGAGAUAUACAUAUACAUCAUAAUCACUUCAAUUAUCAUGCGUUUCAUAGAAUCACUCGGUUAGAAUCACUUCCUUGGUGUACAUAUCAUGAUUGGGAUUACUGAAGCAAGUUAAUCACCCAACAUCAGAUUUGAUUCCUUCUACUUUUUCUAUCUCUUGAAAUCUAGUUUUCUUUUAUGUUAUUUUUUUAUUAUUAGUACUAUAAAAAUUCAAAAAAUUUCUUACGUUUUCGUUCUAUAACUUGAUUAAAAUAUUAAUUAGAUCUUUUAGUAUGUAGGUUAAAAUUGAACUAGCCUUCGCCUCCCUUGGGUACGAUCCUCGGAGUACUCACCCACUUCGUUGAAAAACUAUAUUACAACUAGAAUCAUAUACUUGCGGAUACUGGCUCGUAAUUCUCUAUUUUAAUGCAGUAUUCACACUCUAGACAUCAAGUCCAGAGGCAGUCACACCACCAUGGGAAACAUAGAUAACCCCAUUAAAUAAAUGUCGUUCAACAUUUCUUUUUAGAGUGUGCCAUGACCAUGGACUUUUUCCUUUAGACUUUCAUGUCAGAGUUCAUGUUUACUGUUCUGACGAACUUCCUUAGUUACCAUUACGAUGACUCGACUCACUUUACAAACUCUAUGAACACAGGCACACCCUAGACCCAACAUUUCAUAUCACUCUUAAUGCAUAUAAUAGAGCUUAUUAUCAAGCAGACUAACUUAUAUCUUAAUCUAAUCUUAACUUUAUUCCUAUAGUCGUAUAAGCAUCAUAUUCAUACUAUACUAUGCAUGAUUUCCAGUUUCCAGUUGGAUCACUUUCAUAUAGAUAUACUUCAGUAUGAACAGUAUACAUGCAAGAGUCAGAGUAGAAACUCACCUGACACUCAACUAUUGAAUCUUGAACUCUAAUCCAACUUCCAUAAUGAACCAGCAACAACCACCACACUACUUUUAGAACAUAAGAACACUAAUAAACUUAUUCGAAUACCUCUUAUCAUUGUUUCAAACACCGACAAUUUCCAUGCAAAACCUUAAACCUACACCUUACUAUUCAUGCACCUUUUACAAACUUACUCUUUUAGAAUUUAAUAUACAUAAUGGUAAUACUUACCCUGGGAUGGAAUAACCACUAUUUAACUCCAAAUUCUGAGCUUUAAGUUUACGGAGGAAGAAAUACCGUUGGAUCAUGGCAGAGGAACCAGAGAAUAGUAUAUUCAGGAAAAAGAAAAAAAAUAUAUUUUCAAGGACUUUUCCAUAAACAUAUAUAGCCUUAACUCACUUACUGUAAUUUUACAAGUGUCACUUGAAUUCAGUGUUUGUUUUACUUAAUGGUCUACAGAUUCUAAGAGUAACAUAAAUGAGAAUAAAAAAUAAAAAAUAUUAGAUUAGUCUAUCAAGUUGAUUCCUAACCAAAAUACUUACUACGCAAUUAGCACAGUAACUCAGACAAACAGGGCGUAAUAUACCUUUAGCGUUAACUCAAGUCAUAAUUACCCUUUUUAUUUUCUAAAUUCUUCCUCUUCAUUUAGUAAGGUAUUCCAAAAUCAAUAUUUACUUCCAAACUAGAUGAUUUCUAUAUGCCCAAUCUAUACGCCAGAGAAGACAAUUGGGCGGAUAACACUUCACCAAACAUAUGCUUUUAAGACUACCCGCCAAACCCUCGAACCCGCCAAUACUUGGAUGUUACAACUCUCCUCCCCUUAAGAAAAUUUUGUCCUUGAAAUUAUAACGUUAAAGAAUUCCAAAUUCAAAAUUACAAACCCGCCAAGAAUGUAACACCAAUUAGGCAAAUCCACAUACUUACUCAUCAAAAUUUUCCUGUCAGUGACAUACACUUGAAAAUCUUAUUAAGAAAAUGCCAUCAAUUUGUUUCUUUGGACCAAAUAAAAAAUUUGGCAAUUACUCACCUAAAUUUGAACAUUGCACAUUUACCUUUUUGAUAGAUGUCCACUUUGUAUUAGACGACUUGAACCACUUUCACAGAAUAAACUUCUUGCACAAGCUUACUUCUACUAAACAGAGGCUCAAACAUUUUCAUCAGCACUUUUGUUAAAUCUUUCAAAUCCCUUACUUCUUUUCUACUUAAUCUUUCUAUCUUCAUCGUCUUUAAUAUCAGAUUUCUUAAAGGUAAUCUUUUCUUUUCUUUUCUUCACUUUUUUUGUUUUUCCUAUUUACACUUAGAGAUGUCUAGAACAACCACUCGGGGUAGAGGAUGAAGCCAGGGUAAUCGAAAUAUAGCUCUCAAAAAUCCCUUCUCUUUCAAACUUCAAGGUCCUGAUGAUACUCCUCCAUGCAUAUCAACUCCUUCAUAUGAAUGUAGUACCACUUAAGAAGAAAUAAAUAAAUAUUUAGGAGCUCAGGGCAUUCGACACUUGAAUUUUUCCUCUGAUUUGAGAUGACCACCAUUUGAAUGACAAUACCCAAGGUUUCAUCCUUCCACUAGUUUUACUAGAAGCUAGCUUCCACUUACCACUACAUCCAUUCUUUGCUCGAUUUUAACUGAGCAUGGCAUUGCACCAGGAUAACUAUCAGCCUUGUCCUGUUGGACUCUGAUAGGCUAUUUUAUUGAUUGUUGCAUGUGUAAUGAACCACCACUAUUGGGAGUCUUUCAGAAAAUCUAUCAAUUAAAAGUUACAAGGCAAAGAGUUGGUGCCGAAAACGCCCACUUCAGUGUUCGACAAGGUUAUGAUCCAGUCAUUCAGAAUAGUAUUUCUAAUCUACAUUGGAAGAAGGAAAAGCGCAUAAGAGUAAUUUGCAAACUUGAAAGUGGUUUUGGUUUUCCCAUUUGUUGGUCUCUUACUCGAGAAUCCAUUUGUGCCCACAAUCAACCUGUUGAUUCAAGAGUUCCUAAGAAAAAUAUUAAGCAUCUAAUGAAGGGGCGGACACUUGAACUAAUGGAGUUAGUUACAGUUAGGAAUGUUUUCCAGUAUUGUUUGUGUAAUAGCCCCUUUUUUAAUGGUACUAGAAACAGUGGUUUUGGGGCCAUAAAAUCUGACGAGGAAGUUUAAAAAUAUUAUUAUUUAAUAUUAACGAGUCAAAUGUGAUUUGAAAAAGGUUUUUGAUUUGAUAAUUUAUGUUAUAUAAGCGAUUUAUUAAGUUCAAGUAGUAAGACCCUAAGGUCAAGUGGUUUUAAAAAAUAAGCGAUUUAUAAACUGAGUCAUAAAUAUUUUUAUAAGUAUUUACGGAGUGUCAUUAAGGUGGUAUUAAAGUUUUGUCGAAAGAUUUUAACGUUUCAAUAGUUAAUUAAUUAAAAAGAACUAAAUUGUAAAAGUUGAAAAAGUUAAUCGCUAUUAGUUUAAAGAGGUUAAUUGGUUAAAGAAUUAUAAUUGGAUGGCCUUAUUGAGUAAAUUACCCAUCCUAAAGAUAGUGGGACAAUAAGGGAACUUUAAAUUUUUGGUUUUAUUUAUGUAUAACAGUUAAAUAAUUAAAAAUAAGUAUUAUUAUUAAAAUAAAGAUGAAAAUUAUGAUUUGUUUCUUCAUUCUUCUUUAAACACCAAAUGUCACUAUGGAUAAAGAAAAGGAGAAGUUCCAAGCUUCCGCCAAACAAAAAUGGGUGCAUGUAAGUGAUUUAUUUAUCGGAUUCUAAUAAUUUUUAUGUUUUUGAGAUCGUUGCAACUUGGUCCAGCUAGCUCAUACCUUCGAUUUUUAAAACGGUUAAAGAUUUUGAACGUUUCCAUUGAUGAAUCUAGUGAUUUUUUAUGUUAAAUGAUUAAUUUUAAAUAUUAGUUGUUAUUUAAAAGUAUUAUGUUAAGUGAUUUUUGAUGAAUUUAUCAAUUAGGGACUAAAUUGCUAAAAUAAUAAAAGUACAAAGAUUUGAUGUGAAAUUAUUGCAAAAUGGGAUGAAAUGGAGGCGAUGAAUAUUUGGCUAAUGUAAAAUUUCAAUAAAAAUGAUUAAUUUGCAUGUGUUAGGCUCAGGGACUAAAUUGAAUAAAAGUAAAAUGUUAGGGGUAAUUUUUUAAAAAUGUAAAAAAGACUAAAUUGCAUAAAAAUGCAUUUUUUACUAUCUAAAUUAAUAUAUUGAAUGAAAUUAUUAAUUUAGAUUAAGAUCGGGUGGAAAAUCGAGGAGAAUGGAAAUUUACCAAAAUGCCCCUAUACUUUGACAUUUCUAUAAUUUAUUCAGGUAAGUUUAUACAUUUAAAUAGCAUUUUAAAUUAUGCUUUAAAUGCUAUCAUUUUAUAAUAUCAAAUUACGUAUCGGCUGAAAAAUUCAACGACGUAUCAGUGAUCGUCAACCAAUGAAAAGGGAUAACUUCGGCUAUUGAAUAUGAAAAGGGAUAGCUUCGGCUAUCGAAUAUGAAAAGGGAUAGCUUUGGCUAUCGAUUAUGAAAAAGGAUGGUGACGACCAUCGAAUAUGAAAAGGGAUAGCUUCGACUAUUGAUUAUGAAAAGGGAUAGCUUUGGCUAUCGAUUAUGAAAAGGGGUGGUGACGACCAUUGAUUAAUGAAAAGGGACGAUUAUAACUAUUGUUUAGCACACUUUGUGUGAGCUCCGAUAAGGGUUCUGAUUGACUUCACUACAAUAAUUAUGGAAAGGUAUGAUGUACCAAUGGUCAAAGUAUGAAUAUUCAUGUUUAUGAAAGGUAUAAUAUAACUGAUGCUAUGUUAUAGACCCAUAUCUUACCAUGUGAUGAUAUUGCUAAUUUGUGUGUUUAAUCACUAGCUUAUGGCUAUGGUUAAUGUUAUGUUUAUGUCUUACGUGUAUCCAGUUGAAAUGGUAAGUGUUCAAUAAGAAUUAAUACAUGUUUAUAUGAAACUCAAUGGAAUGGUGAUACAUGGAAAAACAUGAUAUGUUGUGAUGGAUGAUAAAUCCAAUUGAAUCAUACUCAAGUAUAAUGGUUAUUCAUGUCAAAUUCAUAUGAAUCAUGUUUAAAUUAACUAACAUGUGUUGUUGAUGUGCUAGGGGUUAUACCAAACUUAUGGAUAUGAUCGAUGUUUAUGAUUAUGCUUGUACUAUGCAUAUGAAAUGGGUAAGAAAAGGAAAUGAAACUGUAAGUACGUAAUUGAGAUGUAUUAUGAUGUAUUAUAUGUGAGAAAAUUGCUUAUGCUAUGGAUAAAUACACUAAACUGAGAGUUAAUAAUGUUGUUUAGGCUUAUGAUAAGCAUUGGGGAUGGAAUGGAAAGUAAGUAAAUAUAAAGAUAUAUAAUCUUAUAAAAGGGAUUGAUGAUAUAUAUUAUGUCUCAUGAAAUCCUGUCAUGUUAUGAAUGGUCAAUAAUAUGCGACAUUAAUAAACUUACUCAUUUGUGAGUCGAUGAUCAUAUCGAUUUAUGAAUCUUAUAGCAUUGGCAUAGAUUUAUAUUUAUUCUAUAAAUUUUAAUAUUGAAAUUGAAUAUUAUGCUUAAAGUUUAUACGAGCUUACUAAGCAUUCAUUGCUUACAUAGUUUUUCCUUUACCUUACAGAAUAUCAGAAGCUCAAUUGGGUUGGAAGCUAGUCGAAGAUCCAUCACAUUGUCCAUCGAUUUUAUCGGUAGAUUUUUAUGCUUUGGUCGCGAUUAUAAUGGCAUGUAUAAGUGUUUUAUGCUUGAUGAUAUGACCACUAUGUUUGGCUUGUAAAUAUGGUUUAGUGAAGAUAUGUUUUGAAUGGACAAAUUGGUAUGCUUGUGUGUGAUAUUGGCAUGUAAUGUUGCUUUGAAUUUGUGAAACUUAUGUUAUUUUGAUGCCUUGAUAGUCGGUGUGCUUUUGGCACUUUAAUGAUGGUUGGUGUUAUAUGAUCAAAUUGAUGCAUGAUUUUAUGGCCAAAGUGGUAUGUGUUGGCAUGUUUGCAAAGUGAUCAUUUAGGGCAUGUUUUCAUAUAGGAUUUAAUCAAAUAUGUUUGGUUGAAUUAUGACCAUUUGAACCAUUUAGUAAUGGUUAGUUUUGUGUCAUUUAUAUGGUUUUGAUACAUAAGAGAAGUGGUUCAAAUGGUAAAGUUUUUUUGUUAUGGUAUGAAUCUAAAUUGGUAAGGUUGGUAUGUGUCAAAAGUGGUAUGUUUUGGUAUGGAAUCAAGUUAGUUGCUAAAUGGUUAAAUAUGAACAUGUUUAAGUAUGUUUAAUGUGUGUGUUUGAGGUGCCUUUACGGCAUAUUGGUUGAACGGAAAUUGGUCAUUUUAUGCAUAGUUGAACAUGUUUCGAUACCUAGGUCAUAUGUGCAAAUGGCUUAUUUAGGUAUGCUUCAAUUGGAUGAAAGAAAUGGCUUGAAUUUGACCUAUUUCUUGUUCACACGGCCUAAGACAAAGGCGUGUGUCUCAGAUGUGUGUGACACACGGCCAGUGUCCUCUGUAGGUUUUUAAAGGUUACAUUUCGAGAGUUACACGGCCUAGCACACAGGCGUGUGACUUGGCCGUGUGACCCAAGUCAGAGAGUUACACAGGCUGGAACAUGACUGUGUGUCCCUAUUUCGAAUGUCCAUACGGCCUAAGACACGAGUGUGUGUCUCAGCCAUGUGACCCCUGUAGUGUGAAUUUUUCCAUCUUUUUCCAUGAAGUUGUAAAUGUUUUCGAUUUAGUCCCGAAUCAUUUCUAAAGUGUUUCUAAGGCCUCAAAUGCUCGAUUAAGGGACGGUAUGCAUGUGUUUGGAUGGAAUAUGAUGUGAUUCAUGAAAUGAUUUGGAAUGAAUGUUUUGAUGUUACGAUUUUACGGUAAUGCUCUGUAACCCUAUUUCGAUGAUGGAUAUGGGUUAGUGGUGUUACAGUUUGCAAAAUCAAAUCCCCAAUGGUCAUUGGGAUACUGACUCCAUUAGUUGGUUAGAUAAUUAUAAUGUGCCUUCAGCCUCAGUGGCCUGGCUAUUUAAUGGCACCAGUAAUCUAGCACAAAUCUUGACUGGACGAGCAGGAGAACGUCCUUUGUAUUUCUACGAAGUCUGUGGAUUCUUUCUUGCAAUUGGAUUAUCACUCCUAGUAUUCCUUAUUCUUCUUCAAGUGAGGCUAGUACUCAUAUACAUUAUGCAGGGACAAUUUCAAAAUAUCAUACCAGACCUAAACAAGCAUUGGGUAUGUACAUCAUUGCUCUUUUAAAUUAAACUCAUGUUAAGGAGAAAACCACUUCUGCUCCUUCAAAGAAGUUAACAAUAAAGAAAUAUCAGAAGAGACCGAGAGUGAAUGAGGACAGUUAAAAACUUGAUAAGGGUUAAUGUCCAUAACCUAAAUUGCACAGGCUUAAAAAGGGACUUCCGACACGAAGAAUUUCUUCUCCUAUAGUCCCAACACUUCUUUCAAUUCCUGCAGAUCCCAUAGAGUCCACCCAACCCAUAGACUCCUCAACUCAGAAUGUUAAACCUCCACUGGUUGAGGUCCCUACAGAAACAUUACCAUCCGAAUGGCUAGUGAUUUCCUCCAGUUCUCAACCUCAACAACCCUCAAAUAUAGAUACAAUUAAUUUCUUCCCUUCGCGUGACUUAUAUACUCCAAGGCUAUCCUCUGUUUCUUUAAAUUCCAUCUUCCAAAGUCAGUACAGUGUGAUACCUCCUCCGUUGAAAAAGUCUGUCCGAUCUUACCUUUCAUCCAAACCAAAUUCAUCUCAUAUUUUACAAAUGGCUGAGUUAGCAUAGGCUUUAUCUGUAGAAUAUGGACUAUGGAGUGGAAUUCUUCAAGAAAGAAACAAUCAUCAUAAGGCAAAAGUUGCUUACCACUACAAUAUCUGAGGUGUUACAACUCACCCCUUAUUAAAGAAAUUUCAUCCCCGAAAUUUCCCACUAACAGAACAGUUGUCUAAACACAAAACUUACGACUACGUUCCCACUGUACACUCUAAUCCUGAAGCUUUGCCGUACCAAACAUUUAAGCCCCACACCCAUAAUCCAAAUGUCUAACCCUUAAACUGGAUCAACAUACCUACAUACACGGCCACUCAAACCCAAGACCUCAAACACACACCCAAAACACUUAGCUACAGAAGCAGAUACAUAUUUUUCCAUCACACAUACAAACGUUAUCCACCCAAUAGUCCAACGAAUCAUUCAAAAGAAUAACACAUAACGUCAAAAUGGCCUACACCCAUACAUGUCUCAAUGUCACCGAGGACACUCCCUAACCUGAUGCUCUGUAGACUCGCAUCUGAGACACGUUCCCGACUUCUUCCAACAAUCGCCCAGAUAGUGCUUCUUAUAGUGCCCAAAAAACAAAACACUCUCACCACUACUUGAACCCUUGACAUUACCUUUGCUAUUAACACUCCAUUGCAUUCUCACACAUUUCAUAGGUCGAGGCUCUAACCUCGAAGGACUACGAUCUCUUUUCUUCCCACAAUCUAUGCACCUACCUUGAACCAUCUCUCUAUAUAUUUCUAUGCUAGCCUCAAAUAUUUUCUCUAACACUUAUUUCACUACUCAAGUUAAUGCCUUAGUACCAACCUCUGGGUUAUGGCUACCCGAAGUUGGCAGAAUCGCAUUGACUUUUGACUCCCGAAUAGACACACGUCCCGAAGAAAUUAUCGACUCCUCAAGAGUAUCACUAGACUGAUCCUCCUGAUCUCGCUUACCUUCAGAAUCCAUAUCAAACCUCAAAAUCAACCUUAAGAAUCUUACAGUUUCGAAUUUCCUCCUGGACUAGCAUCAGAGUCUUAGAAAUUUUAUUCUCGUAAAACAUUUUCAAAACACCAACCAUUUCAAAACACUGUGGAAAACUUUUUAAAAAACAGACACGUGCGAACACGGAUACUUAAAAAAUAAGCUAAGUUUUUGCAAACCUGGCUCUGAUACCACUAAAUGUAACGCCCCAAAACCUUGCCAAAAGUUUAGACCUGAUAUCGGAGGUCACAUUAAUCAUCAAAGUGAUUGGAAAGCCAUUCACAAAUAAUUUGUCAAAAUCUCAUUCAAACGCAGCUCUGUUUAAUAUUUCAGGAUUUAAGACAGAAAACUUUAAAACACGUUAAAACGUUCGGAAAUAUAAUUCCGUAAAAUAUUAAAAAUUCAUUUCGAGACAAACUCAACUUAUGAAAUUCCAAAAAUUUAAUUUAUACCACAGUCCCUUUUUAGUAAGCACAGUUCAAAUCAGUUCAAAAUUAAAAAGAGAAGACUAAUUAUUAUGUUUAAAAUCAUGACACUUUCGAGACCUUUGGCAUACCGAGUCCAGCUUCAGAAAACCAGAGUACCUAAAAAGGGGAAAAACUAAGGGGUUGAGCUACACGAGCUCAGUGUGAGUUCGAAACUUAACAAACGACAAAGUUACAAAACAAAAUUUCAAUUAGUAGUUCAAUAGCAAAACAUAUUUACAAGGCUAUUACAAAUACAAAAUGUAAACACGGAACCAACGUCCGAACCAUACGUAUCAAACGAAACACAUCAUAUCAUUGUUAACAUAUCUUUCCAACAAAGAGAUGUAUGUCCUGAUGCAAAAUAGAUUAAAUACAAACCCACCCCACCAACCGAACACCACUUCGAUCCCCAUUCACUCCAUGAAUGAGCUAAAGGUAGCCCAACCAACCAAGCACACCACGUAGGACCUCGAAAGGCCCAUCCAACCCUUCACACACAUAUGUGGAACUCAACCACGUAAAUGGUAAUAUGCAGCUGAGUUGUCAUAUGUAUCAUACUGUGCGGUAAACCACUGUACAGAUGUAAUGAAGUUGAACUGCCGAAUUAGAUCAGACUUCCUUCUCUUUGCAAAAAAUCUCAAAAACUUUAUGCAAAUGCAUGUAUGCAGACAGACUUAUAGAAACAACAUACAGACAAUCAAAUCGAAUCAGAAGUACACACAUCCAAUUGACCAAGUUCAGAAUCAGAUAUCACGAUACAUAAUUAUUAAGCAACAUCACAUUAACAAAUCAUUAACUAGUGUAAAGAUUACAUAAAACACAUAUGUUUGAGCCAAAACAGAGUCUCAACUACCCUUACUAAGGCCUAGCCAAGAGUCUGAACACACAGGAACACAAUUUGAAUCACAAUCUGACUCAGAACCAAAAUUUACAAAAUAGGGCCACAUGGCCGUGUAGAGUCAACACACCCAUAUGAAGGAGGCACACGCCCGUCUGAAAGGAGACGCACGACCGUGUGACUAUGACAUAUGCUUGUGUGACCCAGGAAAAUGGCCGUGUGGACAACCCAUGCAACUCUCUGUCCAUUUGUGCUUAAAUAAGGUGUAGGGCGGACACGGUCGUGUGAAAGCCUCACACGCCCGUGUGUCUACGGGACACUGCUAUGUGUCCAGAACACACACCACACCAGUGUGAAAAUUGUCUAAAAUCCUUAAAUUCCCAAAUAUUGGCCACACGGCCAUGUGGCACCAAAGUCAUCCCGAAAACCCUAAUUCCCAACUGCACACAACCGUGUUAACCACCCAUGUGGGGUACACACCCAUGUGGCCACCCGUGUGGUCACGAAACAACACCGAAACUAGCUGUAGAUCAUGCUAUUGUUGCCAAAACGAUCCCCAACCCUCAAUAACCCAGAAAAACACCAUAAUAUACCAAUUUUCAUGUAAUUUGACAACUAGACAACACUUCAAUUAACAAAUUUCAGAAACACACAUAAAUUGCCAAAUUCACAAUAACAAACCAACAAUUAAUUAUCAAAAUUACUGGGUUCCCGAAAACACACCUGACUUCAUGAUUAAAACACCACAAUAGCCUUAAUCUGAACUUCAAAACAACUCACACAUUAAAAAAAUUAGAACAUUAAAUUGCAAUGCUAAUUUAAUCGAAAACAACAACCCAAAUAUCAAAUCACCCUUACGUAGAACUUCUGUCGAUGAAAGUGUGAAGCAAUAACUAAUGAUGACUAUACAAAAAGAAUAGAAUAGCAGGAAAAAAAGGGAAAAGAAAUGGAGAAACAAGAGAAGAAGGAAGAAACUAACAAAAUAAGAAAAAAAGGAACAUUAGAGAAAAAAGGGAGAAAGGAACGUGAACGUGGGAAAGUUGAGUUUUUGAGAUAAAAUAAAAUAAAUAAUAAAUAAUAUUUUAAAACUAAAAGCAAACUUAAGAUAAAAAUAAUUUCUCAAAACGCACACAUAAGGAUUUGAACCCAAAACCUAGAGGGACACAAAAUGCAAGCCCAUUGUGACCCUAAAACGCAAAAACCAACUCAAUUGUUCGUCCUAGCCCAACUACGAAUCUCAAAACUUCUAACCCUAAAAUCCAGGGUGUAAGAAGACCAUUAAAGUUGGUAAUCGAAAGAUAGAUAUAUUACACCGCAAUGACUAGGUCCAAAAAAGGGUUAAAUCAUUAGAGAAGAGUGAAUCCUCUUUAAAGGAGAAACUCAAUAUUCAAGAACUACAUCAUAAGGCUGAAGUGGAUAGUCUUCGACUGUCACACCCCAAAUUUAGGCCUAGUAGUUUUGAGGGUAGUUUAGGGAUUUUAUCUCAAAUGUGUUCAGAUAUUUUGAAGUGUGAUAAAUCAAAAAUGUGUUCAUCCAUGGCUUUUAGAAAAUUAAAUCAAUUUUUGGAAAUGAUGUUCUAAAGACCUUUCAUUUUGAAUAGAGGAAUGUUUUGAAAAUAGGGUUAAACUUAGGAGUAUCAAAAGGGUAAAUUUACAAAAGUUUAAAAUUAACAUAUUUCUUUCCCCCACUACAGGAACUCACAAAAUGUUUUCCCCUUCUCUUUGCUUUUGUCGUCCCUUGCAUCCCCAAGCAUCGUUCACUUAUUUUAUUUUCCACACUUCAAAUUUCUUGAUUUCCAUCACCUUCCAAGUGUUAAAUCUCCUUAUAAUUUCAAGAAAAACACUAAACACACCAUCAAUUUUGCCAUCUCUCAAACUUGUCGAUUGUUCAGAUUUUCUAUCAAAUGUUCAUUUUUUCUCCCAUCAAAGGUAAAAAUUCAUUUUAUAUUAGUUUUUGAUGAUAUCUAGUUAUUGAAUCGACAGUUUUGAAUAAAUGCCAAAAAUUGGGUCGUUAAUGGUAGAUUUCAGGAUUUUGAAUGAAAAUGUUGUUUUAAAGAGUUUUUAAACAUGUUUUAAAGUGACUAGAAUGUUUAUAAACUUACCUUAAAAUUUCAUUAAAAAAUUCCAAAGUUUUAAUAAAUUUUCUUGAAAGUUUGUCAUAGUAUGUCAAAAUUUUAAAACCAUGAAUAAGUGUAGUUUUGUGUAGUUUGAAGGUUGAGAAUUAUUCUUGUAUGUAUAAUGAGUCAAUUAGAAUCAAUUUAAUGUGAUAGGAAUGAGUAGAUGUUGAGAUUUUUACGUUUUUGAGAGACUAGUUUAGACUUGUGGUUUUGGUUAAUUUAUGUGAGUCUUUGGUUUAAUGCUAAUUGAGUUUCUUGCAUGAUUUACUUUGUUGAAGCUUUAGAAUCGUUAGGACCUUCUUCAAGUAAAGCGAAAGGCAAGGGAAAGCCAGUUUAAGCUUUCGGUAAUAAGGCGAAAGAGUGAACGGUGAAUGUUUGGAAUCACUGCUUGUAGACACGAUUCAUAGUGUUAAUUGGGGAUUUAGUAGUAGCAAAAACCCCUACUUUAAGUUCCAAGUGUAAGUUUUCUUAUACCUUUGCUUAAUUUGUGAAAUAUGUUAUUGUAGCAAUCAAUACAAAAAGCCACCAAUGUCCACCAAGAAACAGUUGCCAAUUGCCUUGGUGCAAUGUUGUAUUCAGUUAGCAUGGCACAAAAGAAUGGAUUGAGUGAAAAAUGGAAACCAAUUUAUAGCAGAAUCAGAGGUAAGAUGAAACCCAUGGUGUUGUCACUCAAAUGACAAUGUUGGGGUCCUUGAAAAUUAUAAGCAAAGAUUGGGUCUUGGAUACCCCAAAAUCUUAAAUACCGAUUCAUUUCAUCUUGGAUAGUGCUAUAGUUGAGCAUCUCUGUCUCUACUUGCAGUGGUGUAUUUUUGAGUUCUUGGGGUCCAAAUGGAAUGAGAUUUUUGGGUGUGAUUUUUUUUUGGCAUGGCCUCAAUCCCUUCCUCUAGUUGUGGUUUGAACCAUUUUUUGUGAAGGUACUGCAAUAAAAGGAAAUGAAAGAAAGAAAAAGAUAUACCUUUUGGGAAAAUCUAAACUUGAAGAUGAAGAAUAUAUAAAGAUUAAGCAGAUGAAAGGUUAGGGAUUCCUAUUGAUUUCGAAAAAGUGUUUGAAAGAGUGUUUGUGUCUUGGAUUCCUAUUGAUUUCGAAAAAGUGUUUGAAAGAGUGUUUGUGUCUUUAUUUUAUAGAAACAACUUGUGUAAGAAUUUUAUUUUGUGGAGAUCGUUCGAAUCUUCCAGUAUAAUGUUUGUUGGAAAAUCGGGUUUGGAAAAUGCAACGGAAAAUAAAUUUAGGGAAAAAAACAAAGUUUAUUUUUUUUUCCAAAACAAAAACUUGUUUGUGAUAUCUAAAGUAAUAAACACAUAAUGAAAAUUUUACAUUGUAGAUUCAUCUAGGAUAAAUGCUUCGACCGAGUAGUCUUUUCCGCUAUCCUCAAGCUCACAUCUGCCAAGUGCGGGCUCGCUUCGAAUAAAAAUUCAAAAAAAAUUACCAGUGGAGUAAUUUCAUAAUUUCUCUAAAUUUUUUGGCCAAGCUGUAAAUAAGAAAAAUAUCUCUAUAAAUUUUCUGAAAUAAUUUCUUCAGAUAAUUUUCUCUCUAUAACUUUGUUUUGAAUUCAUGUGUGUCAAAAAAUAAUGACCCAAGGCUCUCUUUAUAUAAGGAGAGUUUAGAGAGGUCAACUAUAAUUAAAUUUAAUCACUUUAAUAUUAAAUUAAUAUAAUAUUCAACAAGAUAAAUAUUAUAUUAAAUUUGAUAUUAAAUCUUAUUAAAUUAAUAGAGUAUUUAUCUACAAAAUAAACAUUAAAUUAAAUUUACUAUUACGAUAAUUACUUUAGUAUUAAAUUAAUAAAAUAAUAUUAAGAUAAAGAUUAAAUUUAAUUUAAUAUUAAGUCUAUUAAAAUAAUAUUAUUUUUCGAAUAGUUAAUCUGAAAUCAAAUUCUCUGGUAGAGCCUCAGUAGGAGUGUAAUUCUUCCGCUACUCAACAACCAAAGACCCACCGCCGCUAACCAUUUUUCGGCAACCAGAAUGUCAUUGUCGCUGCCGUCGACUGUAACACCCUAUACCCGGCCCAAGCGCCGAGCCCGAAUAUCAGGAUGUCACACCAUCGUCACACAUCAUAAGCAUUACAAAUGGUCUUGUUAUUAAGCAAACAUCUUCCAAUUUAGCUUUUGAAUAUUACAAGUCACACAUAUUCUAAUCAUCAUUAAGACAUGCUCAACAUUCAUCAGACAAACUUAAAAAGAGAAUUAAACAUUCAUCGAUACUGCUUGGAAAAUCGAUAUCAAGACAACAUUCUAUUUCUUGCUUAAAACCAAGAUCUCAAAAUUUAUCAGUACAUUUCAUAAAGUAUCAAUUAUUCUACCUUGAGUAUCGAUACUCGUGAUAUGGUAUCGAUACCAAAUUACGUUACUAACUUCCUGCACUUUCAAAUAUCAUAGAGGUAUCAUUUUUAAAACAUGAAUAUCGAUACUUCUGCUCUAGACCACAAAAAAUUAGUAGUUUAAUACAUAUAAUCCAUUCAAAAUUAUAACUACUCAACAUGCAACUUUUCCCUUAUCAAGUAAUCACCAAAAUGACCACAAUAAUAAUUCAAUCAUCGAAACAUGUCUGAGUAAGCAAAUGAUAUAACAAGAAAAAUAUCCAUAAAUCCUAAGAACAAAUAAUCUAUGAAAGUAAUAAAAACAUUAUGGCAAACUUCAUGCAACAAUUCUACCACAUUAUCCAGCAUCCAUUGACCAUACAUACCGUUCAUGACACUUUAACAUAGAAAAUAUUCAACCCAAAACAAUAUCAAUGAAAUAAUUAUAACAUCCAUCAAAAGUGCUAGAGAACUAAACCCAUGAAAAUCAUGAGGACCACAAUAAUAAUUUAUCAAAGUCUAACCAUAUUGCCUUAUCCCCACAAUUCAAAGAAUAAUAUUAAUACCAUCUACUCAAAUACUAAAGUCUAACUUGGAUCACUUCCUUGGUAUCCCCACACCGCUCACACUGCAAAUGCUAAAUAUCUACAAUGGUUAGAGAGAAUGGGUGAGCUUAAACAAGCUCAAUGAAUGUCGAAGUAACCACAAAGUAUAGACAACAUCAAAAGUUAAAUAAGAGCAUACUAAAAAGUGUACACAACCCUAUUCUAACCAUGCCAUAAUAACAUAUUCACACUUCAUUAAACCAUAAAAAUAGCAUAUACUCUCACAUACGGCUAUACUCUCACAAUAAUUCAUCAAGACUAAACAAUGUAUACAUGCUUUAAUAACUCACAAGUCUAGCUUAUAUAUUCACAUGUACUCACAAGUUAAAUGACAAUGACCCAAGCUACAAUUACAUACACAAUUUACCAUGAGAACAUACUAACAUUUUCAUGAAACUUAAAUUAACAAAUUUAGCAUAUUAUUCACUUGUUUAUGCAUCUGUCUCACAUCGUACUAUCACAAUAUAUAAGAUCACAUUUAAACGAUAAUUUGGCACUUAAGGCUAUGAAACAUAAAAGUGUGCUAUAUCACCACACAUUGGGUACACAGAUCUCCAACACACCAAAUGACUCGUAGAGUUGAAUAUAUCCCAAAAGUGUAGCACAUAGCUAACACUUUCCAACACACCAAUAUAUCUCGUGAAUGGAGCUUAGCUCACAUUCCCUUAUCUCUCCAAACUAUCACGAGGCCUCAAUGCCCAAAUCACAAAACACAAUGGUGAGUACUCACAAUCUUAUGACAUGCCAACUAUAUCCAACGGUUUCAAGAGAUCACAAGGCCAAAAUAUCCAUAAUUACACAUUUUUAAUUAUUGAUUAAAGCACAUCAUCUAUGUUCAUAUUCAUCAAUUUACAUCACAAACUUUUACACAAUGCAUGCUUAUCAGAUUCAUAUUUAAUUGCACCACAAUAAUGCUCAUUAAGCCAUCACAUAACUGACCACAUAUGUGUGCAUUAAAAUUAGUGCAUCAUAUAUCACAUACAAGUAUUCUCACAUAUUACUUGUCAUAAUAAUAUCACAUUCCACAAUUCAACACUUAUAUACUUAUCAAAAUUCCUCUCUCUUUCGCAACAUAUUUGCAUUAUCAUUGUCACUGUCAUUUGUCGUGUAUAUCAUGCCCACAACACAAUAAAAUUCACAGUAGUCAUCACACAUGUCUCAUAUCACAAUAUCGUAUCGUAAUAAUCAAUCCACAAUUAUUCACUUAAUCAUAUAAUUUACCAAAAUAAAGGAAGGAAAAUAUAAAGCUUACACUUGAAAAUUAGGAUAAGGGUUUAGGCUAUUCCUUAGCUCCUAAUUAACACUAUGAAUCAUGUCUACGAGUAGCGAUUCCAAACACUCACCGAUCACGCUUUCGCCUAAUUGCCGAAAGCUUAAACUAGCUUUUUCUUGCCUUUCGCCUUGCUUGUAGAAGGCUUAAGCAGUUCCGAUGCUUUACACAUAAUAACCACACAAUAUACACAAUCAAUUAACAGCAAAACACUCACCUAAACUAACCAAAAAUGCAGGCCUAAGCUAUAUUCCUCAUGAAACUGAAAUUUUGACUAACAAACUUGAAACUUAAAUAUCUUAAUCUUUACUCAUUCUCAUUGCCUAUAAUAGAUUCCAAUCAUUUAAUUAUACAUCUAAUAACAAGUCUCAACCUUCAAACUACUCAAAACUAUGCAGAUUCAUGGAUCAAAAUUUUGACAUACAAUGAUAAUUUUUAUAAAAACUCAAUAAAACAUUGGAUUUCUUUAACAAAACUUUAAAGAAUGUUUAGAAACCUUCUAAUCAUGUGAAAACUAAUUGAAAAACACUUUGAAACCAUGUUUUUACUCAAAAUCCCAAAAUCCACCAUUAACGACCCAAUUUUUGGCUUUUAUUCAAAACAUGCAAUUUAAUGGCUAAAAACUUAGUUUAAAAGACCAGAUAACAUUAAAAACUAAUAAGAAAUCGAAUCGUUAUCUUCUAUGGAAGAGAAACAAGCUUUCGAUUGAAAACUCAAAAAAUGAACAAGCUUGAGAGAUGACAAAAUGAAUGGUGUAUUUAGUAUUUUUCAUGAAAUUCUAAGAAGAUUUAAGGCUUGGGUGACGAUAAAAAUUAAAAGAAUAAAGUUUGUAAAAUAAAAUUGAGAGGGAGAAGCUUAGGGAGAACAAGGGACGACAAUAAAAAUAUGGUGAAGAAACUAACAUGGGUUUUAUAAAGAUGGAGGGGAAAAUAUGGUAUUUUUAAAACUUUGGUAAAAUUGCUUUUUAAUUACUCUUAAAUUGAACCCUUUUACAAAACAGUCCUUAUUUUAACAUUGAAAGCCUUUUUAGCAUUAUUUUGAAAACUUGAUUUAAUUUUCAAAAAGCCAUAGAUAAAAAUAAUUUCUAGUUACCACAAUUCAAAUUUUCAAACCCAUUUCGAGCCAAAAUUCCUAAUUUAGCCUCAAAACUUCUAGGCCCAAUUUUGGGUGUGACACCGACACCCCGAACUAGUUUAAUUUCUGUCAAUUCAGUUCAGGCCAGUGAUGGCCUGGCCGAUUUGAUCUAGCCACUGGUUAGACCUUGUCUAGACACGUAGGUCAGGUUUAGGGUGUUACAUUUAGUUGUAUAAGAGCCAGGUUUGUCAACACUCGAACUGUGUUUUGGGCUCAUAAUGUGUGUCAAAAGAUAGCUAAAUGGAAAUAGGAUAUCUGAAUCAUUUGGAAAAUUGGUUUUUAUAAAUGACUGAGCCUCUAACACCGAACCUGUAAGUAUUUUUAUUUUGCUAUAGUGACUAGUGGAAAAAUUGUAGUGAUUAAACUACUAUGUGGUUAAAUACUCUAAUAGGAAUUGGUAAAGGCAUUAUGUUGAAACCCUAAACUAAUCUGUGCACUCUAAAAUUGUAGAUAAACUGACAUUAUGAGUUCACACGAUAGUCGUGGAUGUAGGACUCGCGGAUGUUGUGGACGCUGAGGAGGAGCUCCGGCAGAGUCAUCUUCUAUGUGCAGUAUGCCCAAUCUAGAGACCAGCGAGACAGUUGGUACUCCUACUACUGAGACGGGGUCCUAAACUCCGAUGGCUGGGGACGACGCACUAUUUCAGGCUAUUAUUCAAGCACUAGAAAGGGUCAUCGAGACCUAUUUUAGAUUUGGAAGCUGAGAUUCGAUUAUAGAAUGACUCCGGUCGAAUGGUGCUGAGUUGUUCAGGGGCAUUAUUGGAGUCACCCCUACUGCUGUUGAGUUUUGGCUCAAAGCCACUGAACAUAUCAUGACUGACAUUGAUUGUACUUCCACUUAGAAAUUGAGGGGUGUUGUAUCCCUACUCUGGGAUGAAGCCUAUCAGUGGUGGCUAACGAUUGAGAAAGGUGCUCAGCCUGAGCAAGUUUAUGAGCAUGGUUCAUGGUGACCGAUUUGUGGCUAAACAAGAGGAUGAGUUUCUGAGACUAAGUAGGUAUGUGCGAGAACCGAUAGCAUCUGAUUAUAAAAAUGCGUAAGAUUUGAGGAAAGAUUACGAUAAGAUAUGCGAGUUUUGAUAGCCCCUCAAAGAGAGUGAGUUUUUACGACCUUAGUUGAUAAGGCUAAGAUAGUGGAAGGGGUCAAACGCAAUGAGUGUGAGCGGCGUGACCGCGAGAGAGAUCAGAGUAAGAUUAAAAAGAAUUCAGUCCCGCUAGUUUUAGACAGUGCUCUAAGGAACGAGCGAGGUUUGAUACGCCUCUGAGAUCCGAGGCACCAAUUCCAGUGACUAGGUUCAGCUCUAUAGAGACUGUGUGAAGUGCCAUCCGAGUGAGUUCUAGAGAAAGUUGAGAGCAUGCCUCCGUUGUGGGUUGACAGAGCAUCAGGUUAGGGACUGUCCCCAUCGACCAGACCAGGUGCUAGCUAUGACACAGACUCCAGCUUUGGGUUCUGUUUAGCCUCCGAGAGUAGGUCAGCAACCACCUAGAGGUCGUGGUGGUGUUAGAAGAGGUAAUGGUUUUGGUAGAGGUUAGACAACACCGGGUAGAGGUACGAGUCAGAUGGAAGCACAACAGAUGGCACUAGUUUAUACGGCAGAACGCUGAGAGGAUAGUGAUGAUGAUGAUGUCAUAGUAGGUACAUUCUCUAUUUAUUUUGUUCCGUACUUUGAUCUCAUUGACAUUGUGUCUACUCACUCGUAUAUAACCAGUACUGUUUCUACAAAUCUGGGAUAACUGCUGAGAAUACUGCUAUAGAAUUUUCUGUGAUUAGUCAUUUGGGUCAGUCGCUUCAUGUUGAUAGGGUAUAUAGACGAGUACCCUUUGAGAUUCAGGGUAUGGUAUUUCUGAUGGACCUAAUAGAGUUGUCUUUUGAUGAAUUUGAUCUAAUUUUUUGAAUGAAUUGGCUCGUAGAGUAUCAGGUUAGUCUAGAUUGGGCAACUAAGAAAGUUACUCUAAGAACGAAUGAGAAUAGCGAGGUUUUUAUGGUAGGUGAGCGUUGAGAUUAUUUCUCUAAUGUAAUCUUCGCCUUUGUAGCUAAUAAGCUAGUCCAAAAAGUGUGCGAGGCAUACCUUGCCUACGUAACUGAUUUUUUUCCUAAAAAGUUGUCUGUAGGAGAUAUUCGUACUGUGAGGAACUUUCUAGAUGUCUUUCACGAGGAACUACCUAGAAUACCUCCAGAUGGAGAGGUUGAAUUCAACAUCAAUUUGUUACCGGGCACCGCUCCUAUGUCUAUUGCACCCUAUCGCAUAGCACUGAAGGAACUUGCAGAGCUAAAAGCUUAACUUCAGGAACUUCUUGAUAGAGGGUUCAUCCCACCAAGUGUGUCUCCUAGGGGGCACUAGUACUGUUUGUUAAGAAGAAAGACAGAUCAAUAAGAAUGUGUAUAGAUUACUGAUAGCUGAAUAAGUUGACGGUAAAGAAUAAGUAUCUGCUACCGAGGAUCGACGACUUAUUCGACUAGAUAAAGAGACUAAUGUGUACAAAUUCGCCUUCAGGAGUUGUUAUGGACACUAUGAGUUCUUGGUGAUGCCUUUUGGAUUGACGAAUGCCCUGGCAGCAUUCAUGGACUUAAUGAAUCUGGUGUUCCAAUCGUAUUUGGAUCAGUUUCUGGUAGUGUUUAUUGAUGACAUACUGAUUUAUUCCAAGAAUAAAUUGGAGCAUAAUAAUCACCUUCACAUUGUUCUCUAGAUACUUCGAGAAAAACAGUUGUAUGCUAAGUUUACCAAGUGCAAUUUUUGGUUGUAGGAGGUUUCUUUUCUUGGACAUGUAGUGACUGUUAAAUGGAUCCGGGUCGGUCCCAAGAAAAGAAAAGUUAUAGUAGAGUGGAAACAAUCGAGAAAUGUACCUGAGCUUCGGAGUUCCCUGGGUUUAGAAGGUUACUACUAAAGAUUUGUCGAGCAAUUCUCUUUGAUUGCGUCACCUCUGACGAAGCUACUGCGUAAGAACACCCCGUUUGUGUGGUUUAAGGAACAACAGUCUAGUUUUGAAAAGCUUAAUUCUGUUCUGACGCGGGCUCUUGUUCUAGUUCAACUUGAGUCAGGCUAAGAGCUUGUGGUUUUUAGUGAUACAUCGUACGUUGGUUUAGGAUGUGUUCUGAUGCAAUAUGUUAAAGUGGUAGUUUACCCAUUGCGAUAGCUUAACACGCACGAAGGUAACUACCCUACACACGAUCUCGAGCUGGCUGCAGUAUUGUUUGCUCUAAAGAUUUUGAGGCAUUACUUGUAUGGUGAAAGGUGUAUCAAUUACAUUGAUCACAAGAGUCUCAAGUACUUGUUAACUCAAAAGGAGUUAAAUCUUAGGUAGUGUAGGUGGGUUGAAUUGCUUAAAAAUUAUGACUGUGUAAUAAGUAUCAGUCUGGUAAAGCUAAUCAGGUAGCCGAAACUCUUAGCUAUAGAAUGAUGACUGACUUGAGAGCGAUGUUUGCUCGUUUGAGUUUUGUUGAGGACGAAGGAAUGUUAGCUAAAUUGUAGGUUAAACUGACUUGGGUCAAAUAGAUUCGGGUUAAACAGUUGAGAGAUAAGUCUCUAGUUUAGCGAUUGUAACAAAUUGGUUCAAGUGAAACUUUAGAUUUUAGUUUGAAUAGCGACAAAUUUUUGUGUUUUAGGGGUCGAAUUUGUGUGGCUAAUGAUAAUGAGUUGAGGCUAACGAUUCUACAAGAGGAGCAUAGUAGCCUUUACGCUAUGCGUCCUAGUGAAAAUAAAAUGUAUCAGGACCUCUGAGAACUUUAUUAGUGGCACGGUCUGAAACGGUAAUUGGUUACCUUUGUAUCAUACUAUCUAAUGUGUCAAAAGGUUAAAGCCGAACAUCAAUUGCCCUCAGGGUUACUUCUGCUAGUUAAGAUUCCUCUAUGAAAGUGGAAGCGUGUAACGAUGGAUUUUGUUAGUGGGUUGACUUUAACCUGCACUGAUUUAUUCCAUGGCUUUAGGUUGGCGGACAGUCUGGACGAGUUAUUCAGAUCCUAGAGGAUAUGCUUCGGUGUUGUGUAAUUGAUUUCUGAGGUAGUUGAGAAGAUUACUUACCAUUUGCUGAGUUUGCGUACAAUAACAGCUUCCAGUCUAGUAUUCAGAUAGUACCUUAUGAGGCUCUAUAUGGUCGUAGGUGUCAUACUCUGUUGUAUUGGACUGAGUUAAAUGAAUGUCAAGUUUUGGGCCCCGAGCUUGUAAUACCCCGAAAAUUUUUACAGGAAGAUAUUAUUUUUGAUAUAGUAAGGAAAUAAAGUGACAAAAAGGAGAAUUUUGAGUUAUGACAACAUUGGGAAGUAUAUUAUGACAUAUUAAUUCAAGAAAGGAUUAAAUUGCAAAAGUGAGAAAAUUUUUGUUACCCAAUAGUAAAUACUCAAAAUUUAAGAGGUUAAAAUGUAAAUAUGAAAAAGUUGAAAGAUCAAUAGUGUAAAUAUUUUAAGGGUGGAAUAAUCUAGAAACUAAGGAAAAUGGAUGAAUUUUACCAAAUUAAGUGAUGAGUCAAGGAUGGAAUUUUAGAAGAUCUAAAGUGCAAAAUUUUCAAUUAGAAGAGAGAGAAAUCUAGAAAAUGAUGAUGAUGUUAGAGAUAUUUUAGAUUAAAUAAAUAAAUAAAUAUUAGUUUAUUAUAUUUUGAUUCGAUUUUUUUUCUUAAUGAUAUUUUAUUAUUUUAUUUUGUGUAUAUAUAUAUGUGGAAAGAAAGAUAGAAGCCAUCAUCCCACCAUUUUUCUAUGCAUCAAUGUGAGAAGAAGAGCGAGAGAAAGAAAGUUUUGCUUUCUUUACAAUUUGGUCCUCUCACCAAAAAUUCACUAUCUUCACUUAGAAUUCAAAGAAAUUUCCAUAGCCACCAAAAGAGAAAAUUGAUAAGGAGACUAUGGGGAGCUAGAAUAUCAAGUUAGAUUCAAGAAAUAGAGCCUGGAGGAGAGAGCAAAUCAAGUUAAAGAUUGAAAUCAAUAGAGCAAGGUAAGAACAUCAAGAUUUCAAUAUAUUUUUGAGUUUGAUAUUAUUGAAAAAGUAUGAAAUUGAUGUUAAUGUAGGGUUUUAUUAUAUAAGGUUCUAUGUUAUUGAUAUGUUAGUGAAGAAAAAUAAGAGA
rnacentral:lncRNA from 1 species